rnacentral:lncRNA from 1 species
UUUUUUUUUUUUUUUGGUUUUUCGUAAAUUUAACUUUAGAACAGAAAGUUUGAAAAUCCUGCCUUAAUUUUAGAAUCAUAUUUGAUGGCCGUAGUAAUUUUAGCAGAGAUCCGUAACCGUCAUGGUUAUCUUUUUUUUGAGGCUGUGUAUGGUGCUUAACCUUUUCAUGGGUUGCUUCGUCCUUAUUUAUACUGUGAGAAGAGGCUGCUUGGCGGGUGAGUGGGCUAAUCUAAUACAUAAGCAGCUGAGGCGGAUAGGCUAUGCGGUACAGGUGGAAGUUAGUCUAGAAUUUUGAGGAUGACAUGGUAUUAGAACGAUUGCCACGUGUCCAGCUACUUAAGGUACGUUUAGACAGCAUAGUGCUUACAAGUAGCUGGGUCACUUGUUAUGAUUAGGCUUGCAAUCCUUCGGAGGGACUUUGAAGUUCUACGGGUGGAUCCCAUAAGAAAGCUCAAGAGCCUACGGGUUUAAAAGCCAUCAGUGCUUGAGGGUGACUAGCUAAGUGGUUACAAGGAGCUCGGUCCUCUGCUUAAGUGAAGCUUUCGGUCCAUUUGGGAGGAGAUCAUAGCUCUUGGGGAUGGACACCAUGGGCAAGCCUAAAGGUUUAUAGGGUUGGGAGUGACAAACUCUAGGGGUGUUUAUAAUCCUACGGAUUCAGGAGCCAUCAAUAUUAAAUAAAUGAAGGAAAAUGUUCACCUAAAUCAGUGAAACGUGCUUAAAUGAGAAACCAUUCCCGUAUUCUAAACUUACACAACUGAAAAUCUCGGGCAUAGAUUCAGGACCGACUAUUGAUUGAACGUGAUAACAAAGUGUAACAUAACUGACAUGUUAUUCAGUUAACUUUUUCAUCAAAGUUCAUGAAUUCAUGGGAGUAUAUCAAACUAAAGAUCGCAUAUGUCGAAAUUUAUAGAACUGUUAGGGCCGGUGACCCCCACUUAAGUUGCAAUGUCCCUAGCUAGAUCCUUACCUAGCUAGUCUAGUCUUCAAGCUUUUAGCUCGAAGUUUUAUUUCAGGUGGUUUUUCGUUGACCAUUUUUUCUUUCUUUUCAGGAUAUAAUAUCAUCAUGUUUUUUUUUUAAACUUUUUGGUAUAAAAAAUUGAAUCAAACCUAUAUAUUUUUUAAAUCAAUUUUAUAAAUAUGAUCAAACGGUAAUUUACUUUCUUUAAAAUGAAAAACAACUUAUAUCUAAAUUUAAUUCAGUUCAAUUAUAUUUUAUCAUUAUUCCACUAAUCAAUGCAUCAUAGUUCGCCCAACUGAUUAAAUAUCUGAUUAUUCAAUUAAUUAACGAUCAACGAUUCUUAUCUUUUACAACAGUGUAUUUCAUAAAUAAAAACUAAAAAAACUACAUUAAAAUCACAAUAAUGUUCAUUAACAUCAGCUUCUCAACAGCCGAAGCUAAAGCCAUAAGCCGAUUACUAGAGCUGUUACAUUCUUAUAACUACCCUAGACGCUACACUAGCUAGUGGCUAAUGGUCCUUAUUCAUGAGCGGCUGGGGCCAAGCUGAGUUGCAGAUCCAAGCCGCAAGAAUCAUCAAAGCCUGGCCCACCAUUGCCUCUAGAAAACCUACUCAGUGAGGGCCCAUUAUUAUGGGCUCGUCCAAUCCGAGGCCCAGCUGGCAUCAACGUUGACUCCGCUACAUUGCCACCGUACGGUAAGCUCCCUGCACCCCUCAUCCCAAAUGCUGACGUGGACGUGGAAGAAAACACACAACCAUGCGAAACCGGAAACGGAGGGACGGCGCGUGGCAUGUACGCCCAAGGCGGAGACUCCAUAGGAGGUGGUAGUAGAUGGGCGGGUCGCGUGAAAGCCGACACGAUAGGGUUCCUCAUGUACGUAACGGCCGCGUUACGUGUAGCUUGCAUUUGAGCUCGUUUGAGCUCUUGUCUCUCUUUUUUGUGAGCAUUUUGGUGACCACCUAGGGCUUGUGAGUUGGCGAAUUCACGACAACAAUAUUGGCACUCGAACUUGUGAUUUGUCGGAAAAUUGCUCGAGUCCGAGGAAGCGGAGUGUGUGUUGGUAGGGUUCACAUUUUUGUGAUCUUGUACGACAUUAAAGCCAAAGAGUUUCAAGCCUUGGGUGGGAGCACUUGAGUUGUUAUUGUUUACUUUUGUCUGAAAAUGAAUUUCCUCCAUAGCAUAAAAAAAUAAAAAAUUAGCAAGAGUAGAAGAAUGUAAAGCUAGAGAAUAUAGAGCUUGGGUGAGUGAGUUCCGACAUGAAAAGUUGUUGGAUGAGUGGGGGUAUUUAUACAAGUGAGGAAGAGGAUUGUGGGGAUUUAGUGGGCGCUUGGGUGGAGCUUUUAAGCCCCGCUUCAGGAGUUAUAAGUUAUAAACAGUUAUUCGUAUCGUUUAUGUAAAAAGUCGAGAAGUACUUAAGAAUCUUAACUUUUGUUUCCUGACUUCUACUUUUUUUCCCAAACACUUUAAUCACUUAUAAGUCAUAACUAACUUUUAACUUUUAUUUUAAUUUUUUAUUUUAAUUAAAAAAUAGUUAUUUUAAACUUACUCAAACGAUCUGUACGAAGGAGUAAUUAAACAAAUGUUUGUUAUGUGCAAGCAUGUGUGUGGGAGCAGAGAGGGGCAUGGUUUCGGAGAUUCCAAUAAGAAGAGGGUGGUUAAAUUUAAGUGUACGAAUGGAACACGACCCAAGAACACAUGUAGAGUCGCCUAAUGGGUUGCACGCCCUUUUUAUUUUUUUUGAGCAUCCACGAGAAAUAAUUUAUGCUCGGUUUGACAUUACUAUUUCAGACAGUAAUAUUAGUUUUUUACUAAAAAAAUUUUGAAAAAUUAUAUGAUAAAUUUAAAAAUGGCUUUUCAGAAUAUCGGUUUUUAAUUCAAAAGUUAUAUUUAUGAAAAGCAGGUCGCCACUGGCUUUUGGAAAAGCCGUUUUUCAGUUUUUACGGGAAGUUUUCGUAAAUAUCACUAUCGAAACUCACCAAAAAUAUUAUUUUUCUUUUAUUAUAAUUCAAAAUAUUCAAAUAUAUAUAGAAAAAAUAUUACCAAAUUGUCUACGACUACAAUUGCACAACAGUUUUUACAGAACUUCCAAAUUAGUGGUUGCCAUUUGAACAGGAUACGAAUUCGACCCAAAGCGAUAUAGAGUUGAUCCGGAAUCAAAACCGUAUGUACAUAUUACGUAUAACUAAAACUAGGUCUGAUCAAAUUAGAUUCAAUUGAAAUUGAAUUGUGUUAAAAUAUUGAUCAGAUGCGGAUCUAACUCUCCUAAUUGUCAAUUGUCUAAGGAGCUUAUUUUUCUUAUGUUUACUCCAUCCAUUUCCUUUCAUUUCAUAAAAUUUAUUAAAGAACAAGUUACGAAAGAGCAAUUCUAGAGAAUUAAAAAGUUAUUGUUAAAAAGUUGAAAUAAAAUUAGGCUUAGAGUUUAAGAUUUGGGCUUCACGGAAUUGAAAGUUUUGUAAUUAGUAAAACUGAGCCAAGAUCUUCCAAACCAAGGCUAAACACCGUUAAUUCCGUUGUUAUAGUUUUUGAUUUCUAAAAUUGAGUUCUUUCGCUACAAAAAAAUCCGGAGAUUUUCCACGCACGCAAGCACUCACUUCACUUGUGUAUGCAUGCAUGUGUCAACUGUCAAGUGUGUUUCCUUAAACAACAGUAGACAUGGGACAAUAAUUUAAGAGUAACUGUUAAAGUAAAAGUCUUUUAGAAUAGUUGAAUCUGAGAAGAGAAGUGUCAUUUCAUUUGUUCGGCUUUUGUUUUAUGCGAGGUACUCGCUUUUCUAUAGAGUAUACAUUUAAACAACGCGAUUUCCCGUUUGUUGAGAACGUGAUUUAGGUACCACUCCAAGAUUAUAAAUUCGAUUUUAUCGGAAGAUAUGAAAAAUUAUAGAAUCGAUUUCAGAAGAAGGCAUGAAAGUAAAUGGACUAUCACUCGCUCAGCGGAAGUACGAGUGUGCUCAAUUCUUCGAAUACUCUCUGUGCGUGAAAGUUGGCACCAAAAAAAGAUUAUUAAAAAAAAAAACAAAGGUGAUCAUGUAAAUAUCAGGUGUAGCGUUGCACCAGCUUAUGCAUCAUUGUGUUGUUUUAUUAGCUUAACUUUUUUUGAAGUUUUGGAUUUUAUUAAAAAAAUUCUCUUAUGUUGUCAGUCUCAUCGAUUAGUGGGAAAAAUAUGUGCAUCUAAAAGCAACUUUAAUAUAAAUUAAAAAAAAAUAAUGCUACAUCCACAAAAAGUGUUAAAAAAAUCCGCGGAGGCAGGUCCCCAGGCUCCUUCAAAUUUGUAACCACCCUGAACAUGAUCUUUGCAAAAAUAACCACCUAAAUUUUCACUUCACAAAACUAACCACCCUAAUUGUUUCACCCCUCGGGCGAACACAAUAGCAGCCAAAAAAUUUCCAACGCCCCACCAAGAGACGAACAUGUAAGGACAGUAUAACUGUGUUCGCCACAUGCAGAGGCGAACACAUAUUUCCACAUAUUUCACUUUACUUCUCUCAGAAUUUGAAAUUUCUUCCUUUUGCAUGCUACACCUACAUAUGCUGCAACCAUAUCUUGUUCAUUGCUGUAAAUGAUGCUCAGUGUUUAAGUAUGACUCAACACGCCCAAAAUACGAGAAAUUUAUAUGGUUUCUGUGAUUUUCUUGGCGGGGUUUUUGGUUUUUAAAGGAGAGGCUACUUUUGUUAACAGCGAUAAGAAAGCAUUGCUCAAUUUUUUGAGUAAUGUGAUAAUUUUUUAUUUUUUUAAAAUUAAAAACUGCAUUUAUUUGAUUUAUAAAAAAAUCAAACAAAACUAAAGAAAUGUGAUUAUUUUAUUUAUAAAAAAUCAGAAAAACUAUAAAUUAAAUGUGUUGUUUCGUAAAUAUUGAAUUGAAUAUUAAUUGUAAAUUAAAUUUUUAUUGUAAGAAUAGCGGAGAAGAAAUUAUGAAUUUAUAUGGAUCGAAAAAAUAGUAAAAUUAUUCAUAUAUUAUAAAGUAAGGCAUCUAAUAUUAAUUAAUAUGUGAUCUUUCGGUAAUAUGAAUAUUUUUUGAGUAAAAAUAUUCAUAUUACAUUACAAUGAAUAUUCACUCAAAAAAUGAAUAUUUACUCAAAAUAUUUUAAUAAAAAAAUAUUUUAAUGAAUAUUUUGAGUAUAUUAUUCAAAAUUAAUUAAUAUUAAUUUGAGUAAAUAUUUUUACUCAUUUUUACUCAUUUACAAAAAAUAUUUUUUGUAAUAUUAAAUAAUAUUAAUAUUAACUCAUAUUAGUUCAUGAAUUAAUUCAUGCAAUAUGAAUAUUUGAGUAAAUAUUUUUACUCAUUUUAUUUUGAGUAAAUAUUUUGAGUAAAAAUAUUCAUAUUACAAUGAAUAUUAAUAUUUUUACUAUUUUAAUAUUAUUAAUUCAUAACAUGAAUUAAUAUGAAUAUUUUUUGAGUAAAAAUAUUCAUAUUAUGAAUAUUUUUACUCAAAAAAUAUUCAUAUUACCGAAAAAAUCACAUAUUAAUUAAUAUUAGAUGCCUUACUUUAUAAUAUAUGAAUAAUUUUACUAUUUUUUCGAUCCAUAUAAAUUCAUAAUUUCUUCUCCGCUAUUCUUACAAUAAAAAUUUAAUUUACAAUUAAUACUCAAUUCAAUAUUUACGAAACAACACAUUUAAUUUAUAAUUUUUCUGAUUUUUUAUGAAUAAAAAAAUCACAUUUUUUUAUUUUUUUUUUGAUUUUUUUAUAAAUCAAAUAAACGCAGUUUUUGAUUUUAAAAAAAAAAUAAAAAACUAUCACAUUACUCAAAAAAUUGAGCAAUGCUUUCUUAUCGCUGUUAACAAAAGUAACCUCCCCUUUAAAAACCAAAAACCCCGCCAAGAAAAUCACAGAAAUCAUAUAAAUUUCUCGCAUUUUGGGCGGGUUGAGUCAUACUUAAACACUGAGCAUCAUUUACAGCAAUGAACAAGAUAUGGUUGCAGCAUAUGUAGGUGUAGCAUGCAAAAGGAACAAAUUUCAAAUUCUAAGGGAAGUGAAGUGAAAUUUGUGGAAAUAUGUGUUCGCCUCUGGAUGUGGCGAACACAGUUAUACUGCCUUUAUGUGUCCGCUUUUUGGUGGGGCGUUGGAAAUUUUUUGGCUGUAGUUGUGUUCGCCCGAGGGGUGAAAUAAUUAGGGUGGUUAGUUUUGUGAAGUGAAAAUUUAGGUGGUUAUUUUUGCAAAGAUCAUGUUCAGGGUGGUUACAAAUUUGAAGGAGCCCAGGUCCCCAACUUACUACAGCCGCUAUUGCGCUGUGUGUUUCUCUAGUUUAGGUUCACGAGAUUGAGAAACUACGUUCUCACGCUAGUACGCAUGAAUAUAUGGCCCUUGGAAAUACUUAUGCUGUCCAAUUAAAAGUCGACAGGAGCUAGUAUAUAGUAGACAUAUAGUAGUCCUAUACUGUACUAUAUAUAAAUCUCUGAUUUCAAGUACAGUCUUCGUUUCUGAUGGAAGUGGGCUCAAGCAUAAGUUCGGGACUCUGUGUAUUACUAUAUUAGAUUAUUAUUGGUUUUACAAGAAAUUCACAAUUAUACACGCCCUCGUUUAUGAAACCUUAUUCUAUGAUAGAAUUUGCGGGCUCCCUUACAAAAGUAACCGGUUUGAACGUAAAGUUUUCAAAACUAACCAGCCUACGUUCAACUUUUCAAAACUAACCAGCCUAAUUCAACAAAACUCGGGCGACCCUUACCUGUUUUUUUCCCGAGCGCCGGUCGCCCUCCUCAGGGGCGUCCCCCAUUGGAGUUCUGUGACGUGGUCGGCCCUAUCACGGGCGACCACGUGUGUGACACUACCCCUUAAAACCCCCUUCCAGCCACACAAUUACACACACAUUUGCACACACUCAGUUUCAAAACAACACUGCAGCAGCCACAACAAGGAGCCGAAAGGGGAGAUUUUGGAAAAGGAAGGAAGAAAAGUGGGAGAGGAUCGCCCGAGCUAGCAUCAAGGUCGCCCACCCUAGCAAAAAAUUUGAAGGUACUACCUUAUUCCUCCCCUAAAUAUUAGUAUAUAAAGCCUUGAUUUGUAAUUUAUUACUUGAUUAGUUUGUCUUGCAUGUUACAAAUAUCGGUUAUGUUCAUGAUUAUGACUAAUUUAUAGACUAGUGUUAUAAUUACCGGUUUGAGAUUAGUGUUAUAAUUACCGGAUUGAGAUUUGGUAGUACAUUAUGAUUUUUAAAUUUGUUAAAAAAUUUAAAGAUUUAUAAUAGAAAUUAAGGAUAAUUUAUAGAUUUGAUAUGUUGGAAUUUAAGAUUUUGUGCAUGUUAGAUUUUGUAGGUAGUAAUUUAAUUUAGUUAGAAACAAAAGCUUUGAAUUCGAAUUACAAAUAUUAUGUUGGAAUGAGAUUUUGUAUAUAUACAAAAGCUUUGAAUUCGAAUUAUAAAUAUAUUUGAAAAUUGUUGGCGCAGAUGGAUCCUGCAGCUUAUCAUCCCGGGCCGGUUAACGGCACUUUGUUGACAUUGCAGGACACGCAUAGGUCCACUUUUGUGUGGAACAGUAGUACGGUAAUGACUUGAUGGACUGUUGUUUAUUAAAGUUAAUGUUUGCUUCACUAUAAACUGCUGACAAGUUCCUGUAUUUUUAAUUGCAGGACAUUCCUGAUCUUAGAGUCAGGACGAACUUCGGUGAGUACUGGAAUGUAGUUGAUCAAACCAGGCCGCCUCAGGCGAUAAUAGAUGCUAUUAAUGAUGCGGGCUUUGAGUGGGUGUUCAGGUUGGGUCAGGUCAAGCAUGACAGGGGCUUGAUUACUGCUUUUAUCGAGAGGUGGCGUCCAGAGACGCACACUUUUCAUCUACCUUUCGGGGAGGCCACCAUUACACUGGAGGAUGUCCAUCACAUUCUCGGGUUACGAACCACUGGCCGGCCAUUUAUUCUACAUGGCUUCACCACCACAGCUCGUGAGAGAUUGGCCAUGAUACGCGAUGUUCUUGGACUGACUCCCGAGGCGGCUGAUGUGAGGAAGAACUGCUUGAGGGUCGGUUGGUUGAUUGAUAACUUUGGCGACUGUGCCCGGUUGGACGAGGCAGCGGAGGAUUUUGAUGAGCAGACUAUCUUUCACAUCAGGGCACACCUACUGUGUGUUAUUGGAUCGUUGUUUCCUGAUAGCAGCGGGGACUAUGUGAAUCUCAACCUCCUUUGGAUGCUACGUGACUUGCAGAGCGUGGAUGGUUAUAGCUGGGGGAGUGCUGUUCUUGCAUACCUUUAUAGGAAGAUGUGCGAUUCCACCCAUAAAGUCACAAAAAACUUCGCUGGAUACGUCACGUUAGUACAGGUACGNNNNNNNNNNNNNNNNNNNNNNNNNNNNNNNNNNNNNNNNNNNNNNNNNNNNNNNNNNNNNNNNNNNNNNNNNNNNNNNNNNNNNNNNNNNNNNNNNNNNNNNNNNNNNNNNNNNNNNNNNNNNNNNNNNNNNNNNNNNNNNNNNNNNNNNNNNNNNNNNNNNNNNNNNNNNNNNNNNNNNNNNNNNNNNNNNNNNNNNNNNNNNNNNNNNNNNNNNNNNNNNNNNNNNNNNNNNNNNNNNNNNNNNNNNNNNNNNNNNNNNNNNNNNNNNNNNNNNNNNNNNNNNNNNNNNNNNNNNNNNNNNNNNNNNNNNNNNNNNNNNNNNNNNNNNNNNNNNNNNNNNNNNNNNNNNNNNNNNNNNNNNNNNNNNNNNNNNNNNNNNNNNNNNNNNNNNNNNNNNNNNNNNNNNNNNNNNNNNNNNNNNNNNNNNNNNNNNNNNNNNNNNNNNNNNNNNNNNNNNNNNNNNNNNNNNNNNNNNNNNNNNNNNNNNNNNNNNNNNNNNNNNNNNNNNNNNNNNNNNNNNNNNNNNNNNNNNNNNNNNNNNNNNNNNNNNNNNNNNNNNNNNNNNNNNNNNNNNNNNNNNNNNNNNNNNNNNNNNNNNNNNNNNNNNNNNNNNNNNNNNNNNNNNNNNNNNNNNNNNNNNNNNNNNNNNNNNNNNNNNNNNNNNNNNNNNNNNNNNNNNNNNNNNNNNNNNNNNNNNNNNNNNNNNNNNNNNNNNNNNNNNNNNNNNNNNNNNNNNNNNNNNNNNNNNNNNNNNNNNNNNNNNNNNNNNNNNNNNNNNNNNNNNNNNNNNNNNNNNNNNNNNNNNNNNNNNNNNNNNNNNNNNNNNNNNNNNNNNNNNNNNNNNNNNNNNNNNNNNNNNNNNNNNNNNNNNNNNNNNNNNNNNNNNNNNNNNNNNNNNNNNNNNNNNNNNNNNNNNNNNNNNNNNNNNNNNNNNNNNNNNNNNNNNNNNNNNNNNNNNNNNNNNNNNNNNNNNNNNNNNNNNNNNNNNNNNNNNNNNNNNNNNNNNNNNNNNNNNNNNNNNNNNNNNNNNNNNNNNNNNNNNNNNNNNNNNNNNNNNNNNNNNNNNNNNNNNNNNNNNNNNNNNNNNNNNNNNNNNNNNNNNNNNNNNNNNNNNNNNNNNNNNNNNNNNNNNNNNNNNNNNNNNNNNNNNNNNNNNNNNNNNNNNNNNNNNNNNNNNNNNNNNNNNNNNNNNNNNNNNNNNNNNNNNNNNNNNNNNNNNNNNNNNNNNNNNNNNNNNNNNNNNNNNNNNNNNNNNNNNNNNNNNNNNNNNNNNNNNNNNNNNNNNNNNNNNNNNNNNNNNNNNNNNNNNNNNNNNNNNNNNNNNNNNNNNNNNNNNNNNNNNNNNNNNNNNNNNNNNNNNNNNNNNNNNNNNNNNNNNNNNNNNNNNNNNNNNNNNNNNNNNNNNNNNNNNNNNNNNNNNNNNNNNNNNNNNNNNNNNNNNNNNNNNNNNNNNNNNNNNNNNNNNNNNNNNNNNNNNNNNNNNNNNNNNNNNNNNNNNNNNNNNNNNNNNNNNNNNNNNNNNNNNNNNNNNNNNNNNNNNNNNNNNNNNNNNNNNNNNNNNNNNNNNNNNNNNNNNNNNNNNNNNNNNNNNNNNNNNNNNNNNNNNNNNNNNNNNNNNNNNNNNNNNNNNNNNNNNNNNNNNNNNNNNNNNNNNNNNNNNNNNNNNNNNUAAACAAUAAUAAUCAGGCCUGAGAAGCAGGCGUAUCUGGUCCAUUCCGCACUGGGCGAGGAAGAAGCGUAUUGGGCGAGGACUCAAUAGCUGAGGACGAGGACCCCAUCGAAGACCUGGGCCGCGUGACUUGACCCACAUUAAGGGCGAGAUUCCAUAUCGGGCGAGAACUUGGCUGAAGACGGGGUCUUACCUGAUGCCGGGCCUUGUGCCCUGGACCAUGCUGAUGGCGAGGAAGGUAAGCAUUAGGCGAGGCCUCAUCACAGAGGGCGAGGACUCCUUGAAGACGGACCGCCAGUCAUUGGGCCGCGAGGCCGACACAUGCCUAUGACGAAGGUCCAUACUGGGCGAGGACCCUUACUGGGCGAGGACCCUUCUGCUGACCCGGGUCCAUCUGUUGCUGGUCCUCACUUCCUGGGCCACAUAGAUGGCGAGGUCCACGUAAUGGGCGAGGACGAUCCCGGAGAUCGGUCUUUUCCUUGAAUUAAGGCGAGAUUUAUGCAAUCAUCUUCCGAGUUGAUAUUUGGCCAUAACAACUACCCCCCAAGCCCUUGAAGCAUAAGUGCGAAAGGGUUUAAAGAAGCUUCAGUCGAGGAAGAUGGUUAGUUGGCUGGUUUCCUGUAAUAGUACUCUGGCGAGCUCCAUCCUUGGGCGAGGACUCCAUCAAAGAGCCAAGUCAUUUAGAUAAUCAAGUAUCACAUUCCGGACAUGACUCCAGGAGAGGACUCAUUGAAGGCGAGGAUGGUAUAAGUCUUCCACUCCGGUUAGCUAAUUGCUAGAAUCAGCAACGGGCGAGGACGCCCCUCAAGCGAGGACUCCGUUAAGGGGUCGAGCUGAAGGUGAGGCUUAGCUGAGCGAGACGAUCAGUUGAGUGAAAAGAUGGUCAACAGCUGAGUGAGAGGACGAUCGAUAGCUGAGUGAGAGGACGAUCAUCAGCUGCGGUAGACGAAGCUCAUCAGCUGAGUGAGAGGAUGAUCAUCUGCUGAGGGCGAGGACGAUCAUCAGCUGAGGUAGACGAAGCUCAUCGGCUGAGGGAGAUGACGAUCAUCUGCUGAGGGCGAGGAUGAUCAUCAGCCGAGGUAGACGAAGCUCAUCAGCUGAGUGAGAGGACGAUCAUCUGCUGAGGGCGAGGAUGAUCAUCAGCUGAGGUAGACGAAGCUUAUCAGCUAAGGGAGAGGACGAUCAUCUGCUGAGGGCGAGGACGAUCAUCAGCUCAGGACGAAGCUUAUCAGCUGAGGUAGACGACGAUCAUCAGCUGAGGGAGAGGACGAUCAUCUGCUGAGGGCGAGGACGAUCAUCAGCUCAGGACGAGCUUAUCAGCUGAGGUAGACGAAGCUCAUCGGCUGAGGGAGAGGACGAUCAUCUGCUGAGGGCGAGGACGAUCAUCAGUCGAGGUAGACGAAGCACAUCAGCUGAGUGAGAGGACGAUCAUCUGCUGAGGGCGAGGACGAUCAUCAGCUCAGGACGAAGCUUAUCAGCUGAGGUAGACGAAGAUCAUCAGCUGAGUGAGAGGACGAUCAUCUGCUGAGGGCGAGGACGAUCAUUUGCUGAGGUAGACGAAGCUCAUCAGCUGAGUGAGAGGAUGAUCAUCUCCUGAGGGCGAGGACGAUUAUCAGCUCAGGACGAGCUUAUCAGCUGAGGUAGACGACGAUCAUCAGCUGAGCGAGAGGACGAUCAUCUGCUGAGGGCGAGGACGAUCAUCCGCUGAGUGAGAGGAUGAUCAUCUGCUGAGGGCGAGGACGAUCAUCCGCUGAGGUAGACGUUAUCUUCGAAGGAUGACUCAAAAUUUGGCUAUAACGACUACCCCCCAGUUCCUUGUAACAUAAGUGCGAAAGGGUUUAAAGAAGCAUCGGGCGAGGAAGAUGGUAAGUGCUCGCCUGUUGUUGCCCGUCAUAUAUCAAAAUUUUCGUCUUGGCUCAGAGAUUCUUGCAAAAAUGGUGGAAAAAUCACAUUGGCUACACAAGAGACGCCAGCAGGAUUCAAAAGUCCUACCUCGAAGCGUGAGAAAACUGGCCAUUCGGGGUUGCCACGUGGCUUUGAUGUCAGUAAUUUUCCCGCCUCAUCCUUCCUCUAUAUAAGAGCAGCUCCUUUCACUCCAAAAGUAUACACACGAAGUGCUGCUGGAUUAUUCUCCUGAAUUGGUAGCAUCAGGCGACGCUUUUCUCAAAGCCUCGCACCUUCUACCGCUUUCAGAAAUUGCAGGUACGCAUGUUCACUUACUUCCUUUUCAAAUCCAAUUUUAUUUGUCCACGUAGGCACCUAGGGUUUCCCAAUUAUUAACAUAAGCGUUGCUCGCAAGAGUUAGAGUAAUUGCAGGCGAAGGCUCUAUCAAAUCGAUAACAUGCUUACUUAAGGCGAGGACCUAUUACCAGCGUAGUCGCCCUUCGUGACUUUAUUUUCUCUUUUCUUCCUUAUCUGUAGCCCCAUACUAAAUAUCACUAUUGAUUCCUUUCCCGCCAUCUCUCUUUCAGAUGACGAACUCUCAACAAUCUCCUCCCAAUGCUAAUGCUCAGGUCGAUUCGUGGUCAUCUCUUGACGUCGACCCAAAAGCUGACCACGACUUAGAUCAGGCGUGGCUGAGGGCUCACGUAGGCACCUAGGGUUUCCCAAUUAUUAACAUAAGCGUUGCUCGCAAGAGUUAGAGUAAUUGCAGGCGAAGGCUCUAUCAAAUCGAUAACAUGCUUACUUAAGGCGAGGACCUAUUACCAGCGUCGUCGCCCUUCGUGACUUUAUUUCCUCUUUUCUUCCUUAUCUGUAGCCCCAUACUAAAUAUCACUAUUGAUUCCUUUCCCGCCAUCUCUCUUUCAGAUGACGAACUCUCAACAAUCUCCUCCCAAUGCUAAUGCUCAGGUCGAUUCGUGGUCAUCUCUUGACGUCGACCCAAAAGCUGACCACGACUUAGAUCAGGUGUGGCUGAGGGCUCAUCAGGACGAGGCCGGUCCUUCUCGUCGGCCAGAUCCACUCGAAGUUCUCAGCAUCUCUUCGAGCGACGAAGAUAGUGUGUACAAUCCCCAGAUGGAUGAUGAUUCUCCAGAUUCCCUCUUCAAAAACCUCGAACGUUCCGGUCAUUCUCGCCCCCUCUUGGGAGUUGGCGAGGAGAAGCAGCUUCAAGUGGUCAGAGAUGCCUACGCUGAUUACUCAAAAGGCGAGGAAGACAUAGAAGACGAGGACAAUAAUGAAACUGAAACUGGGGAAUCAAGCCGAAGUAAACACUUAUCUGAGGGCGAGGAUGAUGCAGACGCUAUAUCUGCCUCGCCAAUUCGUUAUGAGAUGGAAUGCCCUUCGCCUGCUAAUAACCCUUUUGUUCCAGAGACCUUCAAUUACGACUAUGAUUUUGACUUUGACGAAGACGUCCCAGAGAAAGAGAGGAAUCGACAGCGCAAUGUCAAUAAGACAGUAACCUGUGCGGGACUCUCUUCGCAAAUUUCCUCGGACGAAAUAAUGUGGAUGAUUGAGUACUACAAUCUCCAAGGCAAGUGGUAUAGGCCUCGCCGCUUCAUGAGGAUGCACAGGUUCAACUUUGACGGUCUCCCAUGUCCUCGCAUGGUGGUAACUAAUAAGCUUGCGGAGCUGGGUUUCGGAUGGCCUAUGCACCCGUGGUUGCUAAAGUUGGCAAACCAUUAUGACGUCGCCCCAAUCCAAGUCGGUCCCAACGGCUGGAGGCUGGCCAUAGGUAUCUACAUAGUGUAUCGCCGCCUUGGGUUCCCCGAACCCUCAAUGCUUGAGAUGGAUCACUUCCUCUCAUUGAGGAAGACAGGCGACGAUUACGGCUUUUUCUAUCUGACGCUCCAUCCCUGCCAUCACAAGAAAGGCUUCUCCGUUGGAAAUCCUAGCAACAUGAAAUUCUGGAAGCCGGAUUACUUCUACCUCUACGACAUUCCUCGCCAAAGGGUGUCUUUUAAUCUUGACCCUUGUAAGUAUAAUCUUCAUCGCCUUCUUCUCACCUUCUCGCCUAUCAUCUGUACUUAACUUUAACUCCUUAUUAGAUAAACCUCAACAAACCGACCUCGAGGGCGAGCUCUUGACUCGUGCCCAGGCUGUUGACAAUCUUGAUGCCGCCCAGAAGAAGCUCGACGAGAUUGUUACUCCGGAAUCGCUUCGCGAAUAUGGCUUUUAUAACAAGGGUUUUGGCCAAGUCCCUCUGAUAAAAUUCGACAAGAGGAAUAGGUCGAAGAAAGCUCUAGAGUGCCUUAAAAGGUCAUUAGCAUCCUUGACUGGUAAAGGUAGAAGCGUCGCCCUUUGUCUGCUUGCGUCUCGCCCUUUAUCUUUUUCACGCUUGACUGUUUUCUUGAUACAUGUUCCUUGCCAAUCAUAUAUUCAUCGCCUAAUGUUUACACUUGGUUUCUUUUCAGGGAAGAUGGCUGAACUUCCUUUUGGUAAUAACCCUUUUGCUGGCAGGCAAGUCCCCGUUUCUCAGCCUCGCCCCACCAUCUCUGUGAAUGCCACUCCUACUCCUCGCCGGAACCAGACCCCUCCACCGGAGAAAGAAUUGAGGGCGAGGAACAAGCAAAAACGGGGGAACGAAGAGGAAGUUGCAGCCUCAAAAAAGAAACCAAGAAAGGGCGAGGAGUCGACCCCCUCUGUUGUGUCUGUCGCCUUCAGUGUUUUGGUCGAAGACAACUAUGAUGCUGAGGACGUCAAAGUCUGGUCGUCAAAGAAAGCUGAUGAAGCUGAGCAUGGCUUCAAGUUCGGAUUGGGCGAGGCGUUCUUUCAGGGCCUCAACGUCCUUGUCGCCAAAAAUGCUCACAUAGCAGAGCUGGGAGAGGCGAACACAAAGCUAAAAAGUGAGGCUACAGCGUCCGCGGAUCGACGGAAAGACCUCCAUAAGAAAUACAAAGACGAUAUCAGGACAAGGGAUACCCAGAUCAAGAGUGUUCAGGAUACCCUCAAUGAACUCACUGAGUCCUCAACUUCAGCUGCCAACCUCGCCAACUCUACCAUCACAGGUCUCCAGUCUGAGCUUGAGGGCGAGAAAGCCUCCAAAUCCAAGGAGCUGAGCGAUGCAUACCGCCUUGGGUUCUCGGAAUAUCUUACCAAUUUCUUGGCUGCGGAUCUUGACUACGACUGGACGAUGUUCUUCGCCCCUUCUACUCUUGCUUUCAUGGCGGGCUUCAAAGAGGCUAAUGCUACCACCAUUGAGAAGGCGAGGAAGGAUCUUGAGGCGAAGAUCCUUUCAGAGAAGGAAGCGUUGGCCAAGGGAGGUGGCGAGACCACACAGGGCGAGGCAGGGGAAAAGGGCGACGGUGAGGCCAUCACCACUGAGCCGCAGAAAGAAUGAACUUUUUAUGUUGAACAACCCUAAAUACAUUUGGAGUGCGAGCCCACCGUAAUUGGCUUCGCAGUUGUAUUUGAAUUAAACUUUUUGUUGUUGUCUGCUUCGUAUUUUUAAUAUAUCUUGCUUCAUCGUCUUCGCCAUGUCUUAAUAACUUUUGUAUCUCCUUGCACCUCAAGGGUUCAUCCUUCCCUUGACCACUCAUCUUUAAGAUAGCUGCACAGGGCGAGGAUCCAUCCUCGGGCGAGGCUCUUAGCCUCUUAUUUUUAUUCUUCCUUGUAUGCUCAUAAAUGAAAACGAGGAUUCACCCCUCCCUUGACCACUCAUCAUUAAGAUAGCUGCACAGGGCGAGGUCUCUGAAUCAGGCGAGGACUCUUCUUGUCCUUGGUUGCUUUCCUACGUUCAAGAUAGACAGAUAUGUCGAGGACCUUGAUGGGGUGCGGACUUCAAUUUUCUUUCUCGUGAAAUCUAAGAGGGCGAAUACUGCCCUUCCCCUUGUUUACUUUCAUUCUCACUUCACGCAUCUCCCAUAUCCGAGUGUCCUCGUCCUCGCCUUUAGCAAAAGGUGAAGUUCUCCCUUGUGCUCAUAUGCAGUCGCCGUCCUUAUGCAUUCGAACAUUGCUUCGCUAGCAUUCAGAGCGAGGACCCUUUAAUAGGCGAGGACUGUGCCUCUGGUCCUUGCGUCUUAUUCUUGCUCACUUACUUCGUCUUUCCCCUCGUCCUCGCCUGUAGCAGGGGGCGAGGUUCUUCUUCUUUGUUUAAAAGCUUCUGGUCGGCUUCUCUUGAAGAGUCGUGACCUUUCGUUGAAAACGAGUUCAGAAUAAAAAGUUCAGACGUACCUCCUCUGGGACAGUAGGGAAAUCAUCUACUUAAAUCCCAGGCAUCUAGGACAGUAGGUACAUCAUCCACAUAAAUCCUAGGCAUCCAAGUAGGUGGGUCGUCGCCCUCCACCACACUUGGGAACGAACAACCUCUGGAACAGUAAGGAAAUCAUCCACUUAGAUUCCAGGCAUCUAGGACAGUAGGGACAUCAUCUACUUAAAUCCUAGGCAUCCAAGUAGGUGGGUCGUCGCCCUCCACCACACUUGGGGACGAACAACCUCCGGGAUAGUAGGGAAAUCAUCUACUUAAAUCCUAGGCAUCCAAGUAGGUGGGUCGUCGCCCUCCACCACACUUGGGGACGAACAACCUCCGGGAUAGUAGGGAAAUCAUCCACUUAAAUCCCAGGCAUCUAGGACAGUAGGGACAUCAUCCACUUAGAUCCUAGGCAUCCAAGUAGGUGGGUCGUUGCCCUCCACCACACUUGGGGAAAAACAACCUCCGGGACAGUAGGGAAAUCAUCUACUUAAAUCCCAGGCAUCUAGGACAGUAGGGACCAUCAUCCACUUAAAUCCUAGGCAUCCAAGUAGGUGGGUCGUUGCCCUCCACCACACUUGGGAAACAUAAACCUCUGGGACAGUAGGGAGAUCAUCCACUUAGAUCCUAGGCAUCCAAGUAGGUGGGUCGUCGCCCUCCACCACACUUGGGAAACAUAAACCUCUGGGACAGUAGGGACAUCAUCCACUUAGAUCCCAGGCAUCCAAGUAGGUGGGUCGUCGCUCUCCACCGCACUUGGGGACGAACAACCUCCGGGACAGUAGGGAAAUCAUCUACUUAAAUCCCAGGCAUCUAGGAUAGUAGGGACAACAUUCACUUAAAUCCUAGGCAUCCAAGUAGGUGGGUCGUCGCCCUCCACCACACUUGGGAACAUAAACCUCUGGGACAGUAGGGACAUCAUCCACUUAGAUCCUAGGCAUCCAAGUAGGUGGGUCGUCGCUCUCCACCGCACUUGGGGACGAUCAACCUCCGGGACAGUAGGGAAAUCAUCUACUUAAAUCCCAGGCAUCUAGGACAGUAGGGACAACAUUCACUUAAAUCCUAGGCAUCCAAGUAGGUGGGUCGUCGCUCUCCACCGCACUUGGGGACGAUCAACCUCCGGGACAGUAGGGAAAUCAUCUACUUAAAUCCCAGGCAUCUAGGACAGUAGGGACAACAUUCACUUAAAUCCUAGGCAUCCAAGUAGGUGGGUCGUCGCUCUCCACCGCACUUGGGGACGAUCAACCUCCGGGACAGUAGGGAAAUCAUCUACUUAAAUCCCAGGCAUCUAGGACAGUAGGGACAACAUUCACUUAAAUCCUAGGCAUCCAAGUAGGUGGGUCGUCGCUCUCCACCGCACUUGGGGACGAUCAACCUCCGGGACAGUAGGGAAAUCAUCUACUUAAAUCCCAGGCAUCUAGGACAGUAGGGACAACAUUCACUUAAAUCCUAGGCAUCCAAGUAGGUGGGUCGUCGCCCUCCACCACACUUGGGAACAUAAACCUCUGGGACAGUAGGGACAUCAUCCACUUAGAUCCUAGGCAUCCAAGUAGGUGGGUCGUCGCCCUCCACCACACUUGGGGACGAACAACCUCUGGGACAGUAGGGAAAUCAUCUACUUAAAUCCCAGGCAUCUAGGACAGUAGGGACAUCAUCCACUUAAAUCCUAGGCAUCCAAGUAGGUGGGUCGUCGCCCUCCACCGCACUUGGGGACGAUCAACCUCCGGGACAGUAGGGAAAUCAUCUACUUAAAUCCCAGGCAUCUAGGACAGUAGGGACAUCAUCCACUUAAAUCCUAGGCAUCCAAGUAGGUGGGUCGUCGCCCUCCACCACACUUGGGGAACAUAAACCUCUGGGACAGUAGGGACAUCAUCCACUUAGAUCCUAGGCAUCCAAGUAGGUGGGUCGUCGCCCUCCACCACACUUGGGGAACAUAAACCUCUGGGACAGUAGGGACAUCAUCCACUUAGAUCCUAGGCAUCCAAGUAGGUGGGUCGUCGCCCUCCACCACACUUGGGGAACAUAAACCUCUGGGACAGUAGGGACAUCAUCCACUUAGAUCCUAGGCAUCCAAGUAGGUGGGUCGUCGCCCUCCACCACACUUGGGGAACAUAAACCUCUGGGACAGUAGGGACAUCAUCCACUUAGAUCCUAGGCAUCCAAGUAGGUGGGUCGUAGCCCUCCACCACACUUGGGGAAAAACAACCUCUGGAACAGUAGGGAAAUCAUCCACUUAGAUUCCAGGCAUCCAAGUAGGUGGGUCGUCGCCCUCCACCACACUUGGGGAACAUAAACCUCUGGGACAGUAGGGACAUCAUCCACUUAGAUCCCAGGCAUCCAAGUAGGUGGGUCGUCGCCCUCCACCGCACUUGGGGACGAACAACCUCCGGGACAGUAGGGAAAUCAUCUACUUAAAUCCCAGGCAUCCAAGUAGGUGGGUCGUCGCCCUCCACCACACUUGGGGAACAUGAAUAAAAAAUAUUUUCGAAUAAAAACUCCAACCCCUGAGGGUUUUCCAAAGCUGCACCCCUGAGGGUCUUCCUGAUGGUUUACCGGAAGUACGGGCCACCAGGGCAUAGGAAUUCUUUCGAACCAUCUUAUGAAGAUGGUUGUCCAGGCAUCCCGAGGGUGUCAAACAUGUGCCUCGAUUACACAUGAAGACGAAUUCCAAAGCAGCAGGGAGGUUGUCCCUGGUCUUCACGCUCCAAACAAGACACAAAUAUAUAGAUUCGAAAAAAGAUAUACAAAAGGUUCUAAAUUUGUUGUUAAUAGCAUGCUUACAUGAUAGUGUGGUCGGAGGGAACGUACCAUUGCUACCCCCGAGUCUUGGGAGUGAUCUUAUCGAUUCCAGGACUGUUACGCAAAUAUCAAAACAGAAAAUAUAACCACAAAUUUAGAGAAGGAGAAUAUGAACUUUCCUGAUAAUAAUUCUGAUGUCCAGCGUUCCAUGUCCUCAGAAUAUCCUUUCCUUCAAGAUGUUCCUGAUAGCUGGUUCCGGACGUCAAGAGAGGUGACGGUAGCUGAUUGGUAGCCGGAGUCUCCGAGGUCUUCCUUCCCUUCCAUAGAUUGACAACGUCGUUCUUCAUCUCAUGUGACAUCCUUCCUCCAAUAGAUGUCAAAAAGCCCCUCCUUCUAGCGCCAAUUGUUAACGGAGGAAUCUGGUGAUAACAAGAUUCGGGGAGGGUUGCUGGAAUUAGUGGUGGUUGAUAACGGUGGACGACGGAGUAGGGGUGUUGAUUUUGGGUUUGGCUGAGAUCGUUCGAGGAAUCGGGGUUUCUCACAAGAUCGAAGGAGUAUUCGCUCUUGCAAGGGUUGUGACUUAUCCCCAAACGAUGUGCCUACGUACCCUAUUUAUAGGGAUCAAGCCAGACGUAGUUCUUGGGGAACAAGUAACCUAAUCAGAAUAGGUUUCUCAUUCCUUGGUUCCAGCGAUGGGCCACCGCCUUAGAUCAGACGGACGUGGGCUUCUGGAGCCCAGCCUCCUCCGAGGAGCAUGGAACUAGGUGGGCUGACCAGCACUAGCCCACGUGGACCUCCUCAGACUCAGCUGUAUGGGCUAGCCCUCCGUCCUCUUUUAGGGCGAGGCUGAUGGUGGGCCUGGGCCCAAGAUAAAACAAUAAUAAUCAGGCCUGAGAANNNNNNNNNNNNNNNNNNNNNNNNNNNNNNNNNNNNNNNNNNNNNNNNNNNNNNNNNNNNNNNNNNNNNNNNNNNNNNNNNNNNNNNNNNNNNNNNNNNNNNNNNNNNNNNNNNNNNNNNNNNNNNNNNNNNNNNNNNNNNNNNNNNNNNNNNNNNNNNNNNNNNNNNNNNNNNNNNNNNNNNNNNNNNNNNNNNNNNNNNNNNNNNNNNNNNNNNNNNNNNNNNNNNNNNNNNNNNNNNNNNNNNNNNNNNNNNNNNNNNNNNNNNNNNNNNNNNNNNNNNNNNNNNNNNNNNNNNNNNNNNNNNNNNNNNNNNNNNNNNNNNNNNNNNNNNNNNNNNNNNNNNNNNNNNNNNNNNNNNNNNNNNNNNNNNNNNNNNNNNNNNNNNNNNNNNNNNNNNNNNNNNNNNNNNNNNNNNNNNNNNNNNNNNNNNNNNNNUGGUCAGAGUAGUCCAUGGGCGCCCCCCAGCACAGCAGUAGCAGGGCACUCCGAGGCCGAGGAGCAACCUCAGGAUGAGCAUCGACAGCAGCCACCUAGAGCUGCGAAGGGAAAGGGUCGAAGAUAUCACACUGGAAGCCACAUCUUCGGCCAUAAGAAGAAGUAGGAUUUCCCUCGUAUGUAGUUUGUUUAUGGUUAUGUACCUGACCAUGUACUCGUACGUUUUUAUUUCUUGAUCUGAUUAUGUACUCUUAGUCUAGUAGAUCGGUUGUUACGUUAUUAUGCAGUUCUUGUGCUUUUCUUCAUUCUUAUGUCAUAAUGUUUUAUAAUGAUUCAAGCAUUGAAAUUCAUAAGGACAAUAAAGGAAACCUAACAUAACAUAAUAAACGACAGAACACUAAAACACAUACACAUGUUGAUCUUUCUCGAAACCAGUAAAACUGACUUUAUUUGGACUAAACUUUACAUAUAUCAAAUAACUGAAAAAAAUAAUAUAAAAUUUGAAUUACUUGAACAACAAAAGUUGAGACAUUACAUAUAAGAUACAAUACAUAUAGUAAUGGGGGUGAUCUUGUGGAGAAAAUACCUAACUCAAAGGGAUUUCUUCAAAGAAUUUGAGAUGGGUCAGAGCUUCAAGAAUCUGUGUACUCUGCUUUUACAAGUACAAAGUGGGAAAAAGUGAGACAUAAAUAAAAAUUUGGUUUAAGAAUCGUGUGACUUUUGAGAUGUACCCACUAUAGGUAAACGGCAUUCUAUUUAGAUAUUGUUUGUUCGAAUUUUCCUUUUUUAUGUAUUUUGUUUACUUAUUAUCGGUAAUUACCAAGUCCUUGGAACCUUCAAAACAGAUAGAGGUUUUAUUAUAUUUGUCAAAAGAAAAGUUUUAUUAUUUGUUUUCGAUCUAUUUGUACUUAACUCUAAUAACUAAAUAUAUAGAUAAUUUUUAGUAAUUAAAAAUAGAAUAAAAACAGAUAGACUAACAUGUAUAUGUACUUAAUUUCAUAUUAAUAUUUUGAAGAUAUUAGCAUAGAAUGAUAAAUAUACAUUUCUACUACCCAUUUAUAAAAGAAAUAUUAUAAAAUAUAAAUCUUUACGCAAAAAGAUAAUUAAUCAGUUAAUAAGAUUUAAUCAAAUCAAUAUACUGUAAGAAAACAUUCUUAUGCAAAAUUUAAAAUUACUUUUUAAUUUCAAAUUUUAAAAAAUUUCCCGAUUAAUCCGCGACCGAACAACGAUUAAUCGGCGAUUAAUCCCGAUUAAUCGCCGACUUUUAGAACGCUGGUGCUAAGAUAUAUAUUAUUUCAUGUUAUUAAUUAUAUUUAUUUCACAAAACAAAUAAAAUUUGAUUUUAAAUAAAAUAUUUAAUACAGUAAAAAAGUAAUUGCGUAUACAAUUGUUGGAAAAAAGGUCGGGUAGGGGACGCCCCUGUGGAGGGCGACCUGCCCACGGAGAAAAUCAAUGGGGGUCGCCCUCGUCAGGGGCGACCGGCCCUGGGGAAAUUUCAUGCAUGGGUCGCCCGACUUCGAAUGAAUUAGGCUGGUUAGUUUUGAAAAGUUGAACGUAGGCUAGUUAGUUUUGAAAACUUUACAUUCAGACUGGUUAGAAAUGUAAGGGAGCCGAAUUUGCGAUGUGAAGCAACUGUCAGAUAUUUUAUAAUGGAUCUUUGUCGUAAUAUGUCAUACUCUAGUCAGCAACAAUGAAAUGUUGUGAAGUUAAUUUCCAUCUCCCAUUUAUCUAUACUGUUGAAAAUAAGUGUUUUUAACUAAUAAAUCUAAAAGUCGGGCCAAAUACGUCCCUCAUCAAUUACAACGACGAUAGGUAGGUUAGUUGUUGGUCUCUAGCUAUAUAAGCUUGGGACUAACUCAAAACAACAUACUCCCAUCUUAAUUGGCUUGAUGUUUAUUGCGCGAAUCUUGCAUUCCAAAGACUUAAAUCUACAUGCAUGCGACUCAAAUUAAGCUUUUGAAAGCUUACAAAUUUGAAACGCAAGACAGUAUCAGUCGUACAGUUCUUCAUACAUUUUCCUUCGUUCUAAUUAAAGCUGAUAAGUAUAUUUAUAUUUAAAUAAAAAUUUAGAAUAGUCUACUUAUAAGCUGUUCAUUAUUCAGUUUGUUAAGUAUAUUCUUUUUUAUGUCGAUGCUCCCUCCAUUUCAUAUUAAUUAUACAUUUUUGAAUUUUGAUUUUUGACUCGUAAAUUGAUCAAAAAUUAUUAGUUAUUCUUAUAAAGUUAUAUAAUCUGAAAAUUAUAUUUUAAAAUAGAUAAAUAUACUUUUUACGGAUAUUAUCUUAUGAAUUUUUAUGGAUUUGACCUUAAAAAUGGAUAAGUAAUCUGACACUCAUGUCCCAUAUUGCAUGUCCCUCUCUUCUUUCAACACAAAUUUAUCUUUAUAUUUAUAGUGAUUUUUUUGAAACUCAAUUCUCAUUUUUCAAUUCACUAAAUUUUUAUAUUUAUUGUAGUUUUUUUGAAACUCAACUCUAUUCUCACUUUUCAAUAUACUAAUAAAUGAUAUAUAAGAUAAGAUCAUAUUUAACCAACUCUUUUUUUUUUUUUGAAACCAACCAACUCUUUUCUUAAUAUGCCAGUUAUAAAUUGAGACGGAGGCGGUAUAUAACUUUCAUUCAUAUUAAAAUAUGAAAACUAGAAUUUUUUGUUAUUUGAAUUUGGCCAAGUCUUAAGUAACUAUUUUGGAUUUCUGGUCACUGAAGUCUGAACACGUUAACAGUCUAAGUAAAAUAAUGGCCUGCCUGUGGCUCUGCAUGAAUGAAUGAUACCUAGAGUCAAUAGUCCUAAGCAAAAAAUUUUAACUAGAAUUCUAGUACUGCAUAUACUUAAUGAAAUUGGUUCUCAUUCUUUUAUAAAAAUUAGUAAUGGCUUUGCAUAGGUUAGAGCAUAUCCUGGAGACCAGCUGGAAGCUCUCUGGCAUGCUAAUUAUCUCUGGCAUGAUAAUAAUUUCUCUCCUACUCAUCCAUUAAUUUUCUCUUUCUGAGAUUCAUAUAUUAACAAAAUAUAAAAUAAGAAAGGAGUACUAUGGAAAAAUAUUGUUGUAGUUAAUACUUAUAUAUAUCAAUUUUAAAAAUCAUAUAUUUUAUAUUAUAUCUAAGAGGCCGACGUUAAGUUGUUGCAUGAUGAAUAUACUCCUUAUUUGAGUGCUUUCCUCUCAGGAAACAUGAAAGAACGAAAAAAAGAAUUCCUGACAUGAGAUAAUAAAACAUGCUAGGCUAUUGAAGUGGUAUAGUAUUGCAUGCAGGCUGGGCUGCGGCAGUGCUGUUAGCCUGUUUGGCAAAGCUAUGCACUAUUCUACACAUAUAUUCAGAUCUAUGCACUAAAAGUAGGACUAGUUCUUUAGUAAAGCACAUGAUCAGUCACCUGACUCGCCCCACUGGUAAGGGAAACAUCUUAUCACGUGAAGGUGCAGUUGUGCAUAUAAUAUUUCGUCUCCAAGAGUGUGACACACGACGGAAUCAUAUUUCGUCUGAGCUUAAAAUAUUUAUAAAAAUCUCUUUUAUAUAAAUUCUGAUUUUUAGUUAGAAAUGAAGACAUUUAUAUCUAAUUGUAAUUUUAGUAAUCAUGAUUCUACCGGAGAUGUAGACAAUGCAUUUUUCUUUACAAGUGUAUUUGUCUUUAAUAUAAAUACAGAUAUUUUUUGAAUUAACAUUACUCAUGCCGGGAUUAUUUAUGUCAUGGAAUUUGGGAUACGUAACAUUACUCUUUAUAUAAUCUCUCGGUUAGGAUUAUAGCAAGAUUUAAUACAUACGGUACUUUUUAACUGCAGUACGGAGAUUCAUCUAGCGCUUUUUAAACGCUGGGCGUGGUCUUUUCCGUAUGCAUCAGUUAAAAAGAACUAUAUAUAUUAAAAUUAUGUUAUAUAACAUAGUUUUAAUAUAACAGAUCUCUAGCAAUUGUAUAUUAGGAACCAUUACCAAAAAAACAUAUCGCGCAGUUCUGUUGGUAACGCUUAGAUCCAGAAAUCUGUUUUUCUGGAUCAUGAGCAUUCAAGUAUAUAUCUUUAUAUUUUGGAGCCCUGCCAAUUCUUGCUUGCGGUAACUCCUGCUGCUGUUGAGCACCUGUACAGCGACUGUACCAUAAUAAAAAAAUGGAUUUUAUAUGGACAUGCACUAAUAAUCAUUUUUUAGUUAGAUGUCUGAUUUUAUUGAUUUUAAUUUCAUCAAUAAUAAUGGUCCAUACCAAAAUUUUCACUAAUCAAAAUCUUCCAUAAAAAAUAGUUGUUGGUGUCUUUUUAUGACCGCACAUCAAAAAGACUUAUAAAAAAACAAUUAUGACUUUAUGAAGCUGCAAGGCUUUCAUUUGAAAAUUAAUCAGUAACUUGAGUGAUGUAUAUAACAAGGCAGACCUUGUCAUGAGGUUUUUGAUGAGAUAGGACUCGAGAGAUGUUUUCUCUUCCAGGCUUAAAAGCAUUAUCACUUUGCUCUGUGGCACCACAGACAUCAGUACCUAAUAAUUAAGAAUAAGAUGGAACACCUAACACCUGCCAAAACUUGUUCUUCAUCAAUAUGAAAGACUUUGCAAGUUAGAAUAAGAUUAACAAGUGGUGCAAAAAUAAAUUCCAAGAUAACAAUAUUAGCUUAUACACAGUGUUUUUUGUAGCUUUGCUCAGAGGUUUUCAUUUUUACUUUGUUCCUGAGUAAGGUAGAAGAAGCCCAUGACAAUUGAGGUCUUGUAUUUUUUUACUCGUCGAAUGCCCAGUAAUUGUUAAACUAAUGUCUGUUUCCUGAUUCAAGAGACUGAAAUUUAAAGGAAGGGAGGGAGUGGAUGAUAAUAAACGGAGGAAUGUAGCUGUAACGUGUAGAUUUUUGGUAUCGACUCCUAGUCCAGACACACACUAUGACCAAAAUUGUGCUACCAUUGCUUUCAUCCCUUUGUGAUGAGUUUCCAUGCUUGAAUUGCCUUUCGUGAUCAUCUCCUUGGCCCGAAGAAACUAUCUGGACAGGCAUGAAUGAGGUACAGACACAAGGUCUCACAGAACCUUAUUUGCUUCCGGUCAGCAAUUUGGCAGGACAGUAGUCAAUUGCAUUUGAAAGCAAAUAUUCUCUCGGUCUCAAUUAUGUUGUCUUGUUUGACUUUUUGUGGUCAAAUUGACUUGUUUGACCCUUCUUCUGUUUUUCGAUACUGAAAUUCAGUCGUGCAAGUGGAAGAACCUAUAAAUGCAACAGAUGAACUAGUCCUAAGAAACAUAAAUAAUAUUACACACACGUAGAUGAGAUCUACUGCAACUUUCAGCAGGUAUAUUUGGAAAGAAUUCAGAUUCUAGAGAGUGCAGAAGUUUUUUGGCUUCUUCGGAAAAGGAUGAAAAUUUUGAUGUUUUGUGCAAGUAAGAUCAUGAAACAAAAACGCUCACCUAGUCACCUGAGCUUCCUCAAAAUGAAAAUGCUUCUCUAUUGCGCAUUUGCGCCCACUUUGCAUGGGAACACAACUUCGCAUAAAGUUCAGCAGAAGAUGAGUUGGUUCCAGCAUUUUUAAUACUUCUAAUUAAGCAUCUUAACUUCUCGAAUCACUUUCUUCUUCUGCAUGCUCCUGGACAAAAAUAAAUUCUGCAUCAACAGCCGGGAAUAUGACCUUAUCCUCGGCAAUGCUGCAUUCAAGGUGAAGGCGGUAGCUCAUAAAAAACGGAUGAAGUAAAACAAUUUGAAAGGUUAGGAACUAACACAUAAAUGUGCAAUGACUAAAAAGAAGAAGAAGAAUAACAGUUUAAGACAAACCAAGUAAAUAUUUCUGAAAGAUGAAGCACUACAUGCAGAACAUUUUUCAGCUAGCUGCAGACAUUCAACAAUUACUAUGAAAACUGCAACUUAAAGAAAAUUAUCUUCUCAAUACAAAGACUGUCAAUAUGAGCAAACCAGACAGGAAUGAGUUGAUUCUCCAUUUACCAAAACUUCAGAUGAAAAUUGGAAUUAGGCGCAGAAGAACGAAGAAAAAUUAUACAAAGGCAUACCAGUGGAAAAUACAACUUCAGCAAUAAAUUGCAGCCUCUUUUUAAAUGUGGAUAUAUCAGAAAAAUCUCCGGAUCACGCUGCAAAAACACUAUGUAUAACAAUAUUACAUUUCCCUCAACAGGAUCAAAUUCUUAAUAUCGAUAGAAUUCAUCGGUUACUGUAAUUUCAGGUUUCGUGUUUUAUGUAUGUCCCAAGCUCACAGAAGGAAUAAACUUCUCUGAAAAUGUUUAUCUUUAAUUCGACAGGAUACUAAUAUUACAUUUACAAAUAAUCGCGAUCAAUAAAACGGAAUAUAACAAACACGAAAGCAAAUAACACGACAAUACGUUAAAUUACAGUUCCAUCAAGAGAAAUAUUAACUGUAGCUGUUUUCUAUUACACGAUUUUCACGUGUCAUUCUGGAUUAUAGUUUUGGAUAAAUUUUUUUACAGGAAUUUAUUUUUAUAUAUUAUCGACAAAGACUAUUGGAUUAAUCAUACAGAAAUAAAAUCUACGAGGGUAGUGAGGCCCGUGUCUAGAACUUGUAGUCUUUGACAAGUAGGAUUAGAAGUGAAUUAAAGAAUGUGUAAAAUGAUUUAGUGCAAAGUCAAAUAGAAUCUUAGCCAGGACAAGCUGGAAAAAACUAACGCUAGCUUCAACAAUUUGACUAAUUCAAGCUUGACAACACUAAAAAAUACUGGAUGGUUAUUUGCUCCGGGAAAGUGGUAUCACAGUUUAAUUGUUAUUCUGUAGCUCAAUAAAUUAUCGGAUAUUCAAUUAAUCAUCCGAUUGAUCUGUUUAUUUCCUUUUUUUUUUUGUUUUUACCGGUUAAUUUUGAUUCACAUUUUUUAUAAUAUUACUUAUAGGCGACAAAUGUUUGAAUGCAUGAAUUCCUUUUUUUUCGUUUGGGGUGACUUAAAAACUUGUCGAUAUUAAUAUGUAAAAUUUUCGGAUAUUCAAUUAAUCAUCCGAUUGAUCUGUUUAUUUCUUCUUCUUCUUUUUUUGUGUUUUUACCGGUUGAUUUUGAUUCACAUUUUUUAUAAUACUACUUAUAGGCGACAAAUGUUUGAAUGCAUGAUUUCCCUUUUUUUCGUUUGGGAUGACUUAAAAACUUGUCGAUAUUAAUAUGUAAAAUUUUGUAUUGCCGAAACGAAGUUAUGAAAGGGGUUUAAAUCAUUUUGCAGCUUGAGUGCUUGACUAGUACAAAACUCUGUGAAAUUCCCUCUUUAGUGUUCAUACUUGCAGCUAGGGUCGGUUGCUAUUAACAUCAGAAGAUGUAUAAUUGGUGGGCGAUCCUUGGCUAAAAGGACCGGUAUAAAUUUUAAAGCACUUUGAACCCUUCAAAAUUCUUAACUCUAUAGAUUAUCAAAUCGAGUGUAUCACAGUGUGAUUCUUCAUUUAUUUAUUUAUUUUAUAUUAUCAUUAUUAUUUUAGUGAAAAUUUUUAUGAAGACCACUAUUUUAUCAGAAACCUUGAAGACCACUUAUAUUCAGUAAUUAAAACACUACAAAAUUUGUUGUUUUGCGAAGUACAUUUUAUAAAUAUCACUAUUUCAUUGAAAAUGUUGAAAAUUAUUUAUACUAAACAAGCAGCAAGAUCUCUGCACACUGAACAUGGUUUUGUAAAAUAAUAUAUUUUUUAAUGUUUUAUUUGCCAAAUGUAUAAAAUUUGCAAGAUUGUCAAUAAAAUAAUGAUCAUUGUAGAAUAUGAUUCGGAAAAUAAUACGUUUUGCAAUGUGUUUACGGAGUAUUUUAGUUGCAGUAUGUAAGUGGUCUCCAAUGAGAAAAUGGUCUCCAUAGAACUUAUCCCGUUUAUUUUAUUAUUAAUAUUUCUGUGUGAUUAUGUUGGGUUUUUUUUAUUCAUAACCAAGUUUUCAGUUUUAUUUUUAAAAAUACUAUCUUCUCCAAUCUUAUUUUCAAAAAUACUACCUUCUCUAAAAUAUUUUCAAAAAUACGGUGGUUGCAUAUGCAAUCACUGUAUUUUUGGAAAAUAUUUUCAAAAAAAAUAGUAUAUUUGAAAGAUUUUAGAAAAAUAAUAUUUUUGAAAAUAUAAUUGAAGAAUGUAGUAUUUUUAAAAAUAAGAUUGAAAAAACAGUAUACAAAGACUAAUUUCCCUUAUGUUUAUUGAUCAGAAAUGUAGGGGCCCAAUCUGAAGUCUGAACCCAACCGAACCCCACGAAAAUUGAAAACUGAAAUGACUAAAUUUUUAGAAUUGAACCGGAACUGUUAUUAUAAUGGAACCAGACCUUAAAUUAUAGUUAGAUUCGAGUUAAAUUGAAAAAACGAAAGAGUAAACUGCAAAACGUGUACCUGUACUUUGACCGUUAUGGAAUUUGUGUACCUGCAGUUACAAAAAAGCAAUUUGUGUACCUAAGCUUUCCAAAAUACAGCAUUUUGUGUACUGCCGUUAGUUUUAGACUUAACACCGUAAGGGUAGUAAAGUAAUUGCAGCAGCCACACAAAAAAAACCCCAACGGGCUGAUCCAUGUAACCGUUAGUACUGCUUAAAUCCCUAAAAACUAAAGCUGCUGGUUGAGCUUGAAGAGCAUGGAGAGAGGAGGAAUUCAAAAAUGCGAUUGUGGUGAAUGGGUUGUUCAACGAGUUGCUUGGACCGAGCUUAAUGCUGGGCGAAGAUUCUUUGGCUGCGUGAAUGGUAGGAAUGGUUGUAACUACUUCCGCUGGUUUGAUCCUCCUGUUUGUGACAAUGCACGUGGAAUUAUUUGUGGCUUGCUGCGUCGCAUUAAGGAGCACGAAAAUGAGAUUGAGCGUUUGAAGGCGGUGCACAAGAAUGAACUGCAGGUUUUGAAGAGAAGAAGCAAAUGGUUCAAAUCUGUUGUGUUUGUUGUUGUGUUCAUCUUUGCUUAUUUAAUGUUGUAGUUCUGUUAGAUGUUGUAAGAAUGUUGUAGUUGUUUUGCUAUUAUGAGAUCAUGUAAUGACAUUUUCAUGGAGCUAUAUAUAAGAUCAUUCUCAUGGGAUUAAUAUCAUUAAAAGCAUUACAAGAUAAGUGGAUAGAUAGAUAGAUAAACAACUGAUUAAACACAUUGAAAAUGAACUUAACAACACCCCUGCCAGCCCCAACCACCCCUACAUCUCUGCUGCCAAAACACCCCUGAUAGCACUUGGAGGCUCCGCCAUUGAAUUGACCCCCCCCCCCCCCCCUCANNNNNNNNNNNNNNNNNNNNNNNNNNNNNNNNNNNNNNNNNNNNNNNNNNNNNNNNNNNNNNNNNNNNNCAUCCUCAGCAGCUAGGCAAUGCUCUGCCAGUGCAGAAGCAGCAACAUUUGCAGUAGGGGAGAUAUGGCAGACAUGAAGAUCAUUCCAACUCUCACUCAAGAGAGCCCUGAUCAUAGUCACCAAAUCUGCCAUAAGAAAGUCGGGGUCAUCAUUCAUGAUGUGGUUCAGGGCUUCUGCAGACUCACACUCGAGCACUGCUCGAGUUUUCUCCUUCUCCCAAGCCUCUUUGAGGCCAUAAAAAACCCCCCACAGCUCAGCACUGAUUGGAUCAGCCAAGCCUAUCAUCCCCCCACAGCCCCCUUCCCAAGCUCCAGAGCUGAUCCUGAUAACACAGCCCACAGAAGCCUUCAUCUGAGCCCUGUUGAAAACACCCCUGACAUUGAUCUUGUAGUAAUUUGAGACUGGCUUCUUCCAUGAGGCCAUUGUUUGCAGUGUUUGUUUUUGUGUGUGUGUGUGUGUGCUAAGCUGGAAUGUGUUGGUCGAGUGUGUAUGUGUGAGGCCUGGGUGCAUCAAUUUAUAGUAGAGUUUGUAUGUGCUACAUGAGUAGUGGGGGUGGUUGUCUGGUAUUAAUGCAUGCCUCAAAGUAAUAGGGCUUGCAAGUUACAAAGCUAUUGACCAUGACCCUGACUGAGAUGACCAAUGCAUGCAACUGAAGCUUUAAAUGAAGCAAGAAAUUAAGAAUUGAGAGCUUUGAAACUGUUAAAUACUUUAAUAAGCUUAAUAGAGUUAAGAGUUAAUUACAAAAGAAGUAAUUCCUUGUAUUGAAACUGCAUCUAAAGUAAUAAUAUUAGAUUUUCAUGUAGUAGAAAAUCUAAUCAAAAAUACAGUGCCUAAACCAAGGAAUACUUAAUAGUUAUUUCACAUUUCAGUGACAAAAAUAAGGAACAAUUCUAAAUCAGUGCUUCUUGAAAAUCUUUGCCUCCCUUGCAUUCCUUGCAAUUUCAAGUUCUUUGAUGCUAGUUGUCUGCCUCCCUCCACUGCAGAAUUGCUGAGGUUGUAUGCCCAAUGGUGUGUUAAGCUUCAUUGUUGGUUGACUUUGUGAUUUGAAAAUACCCCCUUGACUAGUGCCUUGGUCCUUCAUUGGCUGUGUAGUAUGGCUAGUGGUGGAACUUGCAUUGGUUGCUGCAACUGGUGUUGUCUCCAUUAAUUUCUUGGGCUGCUUAACAUGUUUGACCCUAGACUUCUUGUCAACUUUAGGUCCUUGAGAAUCUCCACUUGCCUUAUCAGCUUUCUAGUCUCACAGGAAAAUAAAGAUUUUAACAUUAGAGUAGGACAUGAAUUAACAAAGAAUAACAUGAAAAAUUAACAAAGAAUAACAUAAAAAAUUAACAAAGAAUUAACCUUUGCAGGACAUGUUCUGGCAUUGUGUUCUUUCUCCUUACAGUAGCUGCAAUGCAAUGUGGUAUUCCUCCUUUUAAGUUUGCUUGUAUCAGCAUUGGCAGUUGAUGGAACAUCAUUUUUUUUUGUUCCUUUUUUUCUUUGGUCUACCAGGUUGCACUCUCAAAUGAGGAGGUAAUGGUGCUGGAUAUGGUGUGAUCUGCCAAUAUUGUUCACUAUUUAUUGGCUUAACUGUGUGUGAAUAUGUGCUUAAAACAUAUCCUUUGAAUAACACUUGUGAAUAUAGUCAGCCAUUUGGAGAUUUUUCCACUUUAUGCAGGCACAUGCAUGAAAGCAUGGCAAGCCAGUGAGGUCCCAUUUUCUGCAUGCACAAGAUUUGGAGUCUAAGUCUACUACAAUCUCAUGGCCUCCAUCAGUCAUUGUGCACAAAUAUUUACUAUCUCCACUCCACUGAACAAUGCAACCUCCACUAAAACCUAUUGCCCUAUAUAUAAGCAUUUAAAAAAUUAGGACAAAUAACAAUUUGUGCUAAUUAAAUAAGUAAAAUGUCAACUUACUUGCUAACUUUUCUCAUGGCAUUAGGACACACAGGAUUAAGUGCAUAACUCUGCAACAUCUUGUCCCUCCUAACCAGAAUUCUCUUCAUCACACCCUUAUGAAUUCCUUGCAGUAAUCCAAUAACUGGUAGGUCCCUAAACUGUCCAAUACUAUUGUUGAAAACCUCACAAUGGUUGUUCACAAACAUGUCACACUGACUUGUUGUCAAAAAGGCAGACCUGGACCCCUGUGUCCUAGGUUUCUCCAUGAGCCAGUCAUAACAUUUUUUUGAUAACUACAAGUAUUAACAAGCAUUUCUGUAUCAGCAAUUUAAAUGAUGAAAUAGUAUUAACAAGCAUUUCUGUAUCAACAAUUUAAAUGAUGAAAUAGUAUUAACAAGCAUUUCUGAAAUAGUAUUCACCUUCUUAAGUUCCUCCAUGUGUUUGUUGAACAUGUAUUCAGUUGUAGCUCUAGCUGCCAUCCAUAAUAGAGUCCUUAGCCCAAUUCCUUUAUGCUCUUUAUACAUGUUUCUGUACAAAUGCAUGACACAAAAUCUAUGCUCUGCAUUUGGGACCACAGUCAAGAGUGCAUUAAUUAACCCCUGCACAGAAGCAUGAAGGAAUUAGUCAUUUUGUAAUAAAAUAGUAAUGAUAGAUUUUGUUACUUAAAGAAACAUACCUUUUGUCUGUCUGAUAUAAAUGUCCAUGAGGCAGUAUUUCUUAUAUUGACAUCUACUGCUAGCAGCUCCAAAAACCAAUUCCAUGACUCUGAGUUUUCAGCCUCAACCACUGCCCAAGCAAUGGGAUACAUUCCAUCAUUAGAGUCAGUCCCCACAGCAGCCAACAAUUGUCCUCCAUAUGGGCCCUUAAGGUGGCAUCCAUCUAACCCAAUAAUAGGUCUACAACCAGCUAUGAAACCCUUCUUCACAGGACCUAGACUAAUAUAUAAUCUCUUAAACCUUCUUCUUUCUUCUCCAGGUUCUGCAUCUUCCAACACCAUUUCUAUUGUACUGUCAGGCAUUGCAGUUUUAACUUCAUUUAUAUAGUCCCACAGUAGAGCAUAUUGCAAAAUAUGAUUGCCCUUGAUUUUCUCCAAUGCCAUUCUUUUUGCUCUACCAACAAUGUCCAUGCUCACUUGACAUCUCCAAUCAUUCACUAUUUUUUUUUGAAGAGCUGGUAUUGGCCAAGUUGGAUUCAUUCUAAUAUCAUUUUUAUAAUGAUUUGCAAUCCAUCUUGAAGUCAUCUGUGAUUGCUUAAAUGUUUCACAACAACUGUGAGUCCUCAUGUAUGUCUUUAUUUGAUAUGUUCCUGAAUUCUGCAUAGGGGAUGCAUAGAUUUUCCACUUACAAGUAGGGGUUUCACAAAUAAAUUUCACUCUCACACCAAAAUUCCUCACUUGCUUGAUAGCCCUUCUCUGUCUAAUGGCCUGAUUUCUAACUGCAUUCCUAAAAGACAUAGCACUGCUAAACACCAUACCUGAUUCAAAUUUAGGAUCUUUCAUGUCAGUUGCCUCAUUAAAGGCAAUGUAUGUUGAUUCAUCAUCAUCAUCAGUACUAUUGGGUACCCACCUUUCUGUAUCACUGUCACCACAUUCACUCAAAUCAGAUAACACACCACCCUCUGUUUCUCCAGCCUCUCCUUCACCCUCUCCUUCAGCCUCCCCUUCCACAAAAUCUUCCUCAUCUGAGAAAUUAAAUGGUCUCUGACCAAAUUCUUUAGUUUGACUCAAAGGAUCACUUUUCUUCAUCUUUGCUCUAACUUCCUUAACAGCUGUAACAUCUUCAUCAGUGCUAUCAACAUUAGAGCUAUCAUCAUGAAAAGAUACAUUAUCAUCACCUUGUUUAUCAUGAUCUACUUGAAUUAUACUAUCCAAAUUCUCAUCAGCAGGAUCACUAAAGUCCACAAGAAUGCCUUCUAGCUCUAACAUUUGCUCUAUUUCUUCUUUAUCAUGCUUUGCAAGUUGAGGGUCACCUAAGAAAUCAAAGUUCAACCAAUUUGCAGGGACAUAAUUUUGAGCUUCUUGACUGAUUUGGUUGUUCAAACUGUACACAUACAUUACCCUACAUGAGUCCAGAUAAUUACACAUAUUCAUAACAUCUGCAUCAGAAGCCAUGGGGAAUAAGGCCUCUUCCAUUUUAGAGGAUGGAAGCUUGUAAAACAACUCCACAUUGUCACUGGUUUCACCACAUUCUUUGAACAUGCUCAAAAUCUCUAUGAGGCUAAUUUGAUCAACAUCACAGUAGUCCACAUAUCUUACUUGGCCUUCUACAUAGCUCUUGCGGUUUAGUUCAAAAUUACCCCCAAAUAUACACUUAAUGGUAAAUUUUUCAGGGGUUCCUGCAAGAUCAAGAAAUGGUCUAAACUUGCAUGUAAAAUACAUAAGAGUAAACAUUCUAGCAUCCUACCAUUCGGACCACUGAUCACAAGAUUUAGGUCAAAAAAAAUUCAUUUAAGCAUAACAAAACAUAUACCAAAUUGACAGCACCCAAACAUAUAAACUCAUACAUAUACAUACACACAAACAUAGACAUAAAAAAUCAAGAUAAAAGCAAGGAAUAAAGAGUUAGGGUUUUGAGUGAUAAACUCACUGCUGUAAUCAGGAGAUUCUUUUGGCAAGAACAGAAGAUGAUCAGCAAAAUCUCUUAACACCCAAGACAUGGUUACAUAAAACCUGGUAAUCAGCACUCGUCAAGCUCUCAUCAAGCACUCGUGUAGCACUCGUGUGUGUGUGUGUGUAAUGAAGGCGGGGUGUAAUAAAGGCGGGUGUGUGUAUGUAAAUUGGGCGCCAAGCUGUCCAACUUACACUUUAGCCACCAAGCUUUAACAAGCUUCACAAACAACUUAACUGAGGGUUAACGGCAGUUGACGGCUGGUACACAUGUUGCAGGAUUGCGGAAACGUUAGGUACACAAAUUGUAACUCGGCCACUUGAGGUACACACUUUGCAGUUUGGGCAAAGUACAGGUACACGUUUUGCAGUUUACUCAAAAUGAAAUAUACCUUUAAUUUUGAUUUUUCACGGUUUAUAUACUUUGAUCCAGCUUCUUAUGGACAGACAAACUCUUUAUUUUGUUUUAAUACAAUAAAAAAUUAAAAAUGUCACCUGCUCGAAAAUUUUAAUGCAAAAAAAAUUGCAACUGUCACAUGCACCAUAAUACAAAAAUUCAAUACGAUUCUUAAAAAUUAAAUUCUUAAAUAAUAUGUUGUUUUAUAUAUCACUCAAACGACCCAACUCUAUUUAUCCAAAUCCAACUAUAUUAUUUAUAUGAGCGGGCCUAUUUAUUAUAGUCCAGCCAUCAAAUAUUAUAAUAAUUUUAUUAAUAAUACUGUUUAUAUAGGUUUUCAAAUACUAGGAAUUUUAAAUAUUAAAAAACAGGAAAUAAAGGAGAACCGAAUUUUAUUGAUUUCAAGAACUGAACGAGGUCUACUUCAACUGGACCCUAAAUUUCGGUUCGGUAUCCGUAUGCUCACUCCUGGUCCGGAACCUUUUCUUUCGUUGAUUACGCUUAAGUCAGCCUCGUUUUCUACACGAUUGCCAAGGUCCCUACUAAUUUGAUUACAAAGAUUCUGGUUUCUAGUCGUAUGCAUGUAUUUGGGCUGGAGGCGUCUAAGAACAAAUUUCUCAUAUAAAUUGUGAUAGAUACCGGCUAUUUUACCUUGUCCCAAACACGUUCGGAUAUAUAAUUCGUAAUUUAGCACGGACGAUAUAUAGUUCGUAAUUUAUUAUUUUUAAUUUAAAUUUUAACAUCAUCUUAUUAGUAUAUUUUUUAGUAUUUUAGUAUUUAUGAAUUGAAUUUCAAUUAAAUUAUAUUAACCAACUGAUUAUAUUUUUCCACAUAAAUUUAGUUUUUACAAGCUAUUAUCUAUUUAUAAAUAUUUUUCUAUUAUUAAUAUGUGAUAAUUAAUUAUUCAAUUAAUUUUAAAUUAGAUUUUUCAUAUUUCGUAUAUCGUCAUUUAGAUUGAAAUAGAACACAUUAGAGUUAAAAAGAGUUAUAUGAAGGUUCUUGUUAAAAAAAUAUUCAAAAAUAUAUAUUUAUAAUUUUACUUUUAACAUGAUUAUAGUUUUUUUAUGAAAUAUUAUAUGAUAAUGUAUUGUCAUGACUUUUUAAUAUUUGAAAUUGUUUAAUAAUUUAAGUGUAAUAGACCUCCACAUAUUUUAGACUUAUAUUUCUGACUUAUGAAUUAAUUAAUUUUAAAUUUGUUCGAAAUUUAUUACACAAACAAAUAUUUUUAGCGCUUGUGAAAUGGUCUGUAAGCACCUCUUACAUUGUUCUUCUAACAAAUAAAUUAAGGAGUUAUUAGAUUCUUUUAUAUCUAAUUCCUCUGAUUAUAUAUUUUCAUCAUUGAAGUCGGUUGAUUACUGGAUUUAGUGGAGUACUAAAUACUAGUUGAUAACCCGUGCCAAGCACGGGUUUAAAUAAAAUUUUAAAAUUUGUUAUUUAUUGAAACAAUAAUAUUUUUUUUAAUUAUAUUAUCAUAUUUUUAUCAUACCUAUUUAAAUUAUUUUUUAAAUGAUAUUUAAAUUAUUGUUAUUUAAUAUAAGACUUUCUAUAUAUUAAAAUUUGAUCCUACUUUAAAUUUAUUUCAUAACGAUAUGGGUACUCUAUCUAUGGAGUCCACAAAAUAAGAGUAUUGGAGUCCAAAAUUAUUUAAAAAUAAUCUACUCGUUUCAAUUUUAAUUUUUUUAGUAUACAAUAUUUGUAAACAUCUGACAAUUUGCAGGUUAUGUUCCACAAUAUAAUCAUUGGAAUCAAAAGAUAAAAUAAUUAUUUUAUAAAUCACUAAACAUUAUAUAUGUUCUAACAUAUAACUCAUAAGUAGAAUAAUGAUCAUAAGUAGAAUACUGAUCUUAAUGAUUGUUAAUGUUGAAAAAUGUUAAUGAUUAAUUGAUAAUUAUAUAUUUAAAACUAUUUAAAGAUGGUAAAUUAUAUAUAAAUUUGAAUAAUUAAAGAUAUUAUUUAUGAUUAAACUAAAAGAUUAUGACUGUUACUUAUUACGGUUUAAAUGCGGACUUUAUGGAACUUAACUCUAAUAGUAUGUUUUAUUUUAGUAAAAUUACUAUGUUGUUUGAUGAUUUUUAAAUUGUGAAAAUAAUAUUUAAAAUCAACACAUAUAAGUUCGCUUAUAGCGUGUUUAAUCUUAAACAAAAAUUUAGAAUUUUAAGUCGCAAUUAUUUUAUUCAUUUAAUAGGCAAACAUUAUAUAUAAUUCUAGUUGGAGUUUUUGUAGAUCUAAAAGUUGUUGUAGUUGUUUGAUAAACUAAUAUUGUAGCUUGACAAAAUUAAUUAACUUUCCAAAAAUUUGAUAUCAAAUUUUUUGACGUAUGUCUAGAGUUUCGGUUCUUUUAUUAUAUGUUGCAAUAUGGACAUUAACUUCAUUUUCUUUGAGUUUCAAUUUGUCAAGUCAGCGUUACCACCGCCUUAUUCGUCUUUAUCGCAGUCUUCUGAAAAACACUUGAAUGAUAAUGAUUAUUAUUAUUAAAAAAUAUAUGACCAAUUUUUUUGAAACUUUGAUAUCAAUUGAAUCUUGUUUAUUUUAAUUUUGAAAUAUGAUAGUAAUUUUAUAAAUUUGUUUCGUAAAUUGAAUUGUAUGAGUUUUAAAAAUUAAAACGAAUAUUUGACGUAUGUCUAGAGUUUCGGUUCUUUUAUUAUAUGUUGCAAUAUGAACAAUGACUUCAUCUUCUUUGAGUUUCUAUUUGUCAAGUCAGUGUUGCCACCGCCUUAUUCGUCUUUAUCGCAAUUUUCUGAAAAAUACUGAAUGAUAAUAAUUAUUAUUUAUUAAAAAAAAUAUAUGACCAGGUUUUUUGGUACUUUAGUAUCAAUAUUGAAUCUUGUUUAUUUAAUUAUGAAAUAUGAUAGAAAUUUUAUAAAUUUAUCGUAAAUUAAAUUGUAUGAUUUUAAAAAAUUAAAACGAAUAAUUUCAAUUUCGUUGACAUUAUUAUUCUAUUGAUAGGAUAUUAUGUUAAUAUCAAUAUGAACUCCUUAUUUAUUUGAACUCUGAAGCAUGCUAAAAGAUUUAUAGAGUUGUUCCGUAUAUUAAAUUCUUUGAGUUUUAAUAAAUUAAAACAAAUAAUUUUGUUGGUAAUAUAUUUUUAUUAGUGAGAUAAUUGUUACAAUACAAAACCCUGUCAAAUAUAGAAUUUUUUUAUAAUAGUAAUAAUUGCUAAAUAAAAAAAAUGAUGAUAGCCAAAUUUUGAUAUGAAUUUUAUAGAAUUGUUUCAUAAGUUAAAUUGUUAGCGAUUUAACUAUGCGGAUAGGAUAAAUGUUAUAUUACAAAAUCCUAAACACCAUAGAAGUCUUUUUAUAGUAGUAUAAUAAUCUUAAUCAAUAUUGAAAUUUUCAAUAAUAAAAUCCGAAUCAAUAUAGAAGUUUUUCACCGUCAUAAUGAAUAUUGAGGUUUUUAAUUCUGAAAUAUGAUAGAAAUUUUAUAGAUUUGUUUCGUAAAUUAAAUUGUACUUGCGAGUUUUAAAAAUUAAAACGAAUAUUUGACGUAUGUCUAAAGUUUCAGAUCUUUUAUUAUAUGUUGAAAUAUGGACAAUGACUUCAUUUUCUUUGAGUUUCAAUUUGUCAAGUAGUGUUACCACCGCCUUAUUCGUCUUUAUCGCAAUCUUCUGAAAAAUACUGAAUGAUAAUAAUAAUUAUUAUUAAAAAAAUAUAUGACCAGGUUUUUUGGCACUUUAGUAUCAAUAUUGAAUCUUGUUUAUUUUAAUUAUGAAAUAUGAUAGAAAUUUUAUAAAUUUAUCGUAAAUUAAAUUGUAUGAUUUUUAAAAAUUAAAACGAAUAAUUCCGUUGACAUUAUUAUUCUAUUGAUAGGAUAUUACAUUAAUAUCAAUAUGAACUCCUUAUUUAUUUGAACUCUGAAGAAUGCUAAAAAAUUUAUAGAGUUGUUCCGUAUAUUAAAUUAUUUGAGUUUUAAAAAUUUAAAACAAAUAAUUUUAUGGGAAAUAUAUUUUUUUAUUAGUGAGAUAAUUGUUAUAAUACAAAAUCCUGUCAAGAUAUAGAAGUUUUUUGAUAAUAGUAAUAAUUGUUAAAUAAAAAAUAAUAUGAUGAUAGCCAAAUUUUGAUAUGAAUUUUAUAGAAUUGUUUCAUAAGUUAAAUUGUUAGCGAUUUAACUGUGCGGAUAGGAUAACUGUUAUAUUACAAAAUUCUAAACAGCAUAGAAGUCUUUUUAUAGUAGUAUAAUAAUCUUAACUAAUAUUGAAAUUUUUAAUAAUAAAAUCUGAAUCGUCUUUACAUAAAAUUCUAAUUAAUAUAGAAGUCUUUCGCUGUCCUAAUGAAUAUUGAAUAUUGAGGUCUUUAAUAAUAAAAUUUUAUUCAAUAUAUAAGUUUUUUGAUAAUAGUAUAAUAAUGAUUAUAAAAAUUCUAAUCAAUAUGAAAGUGACCAAAUUUUGGUACUAAAAGUACCGAUGUUCCACCGAAACGUGGUUUCGCUUAUUAAUAAAGCUUAUUAAUAAAGGGUAUUGAUGUGAAUUUUUUACUCUUUAAAUAUUCGAAUGCAUAUGCUUGAUUAGAGCGAAUAUUGUUUCUUUCUUCUUCUGUCAAAAAAAGGUGAAAGGAAAAUAUAUAUCUCCUCUGUUCGGUCAACGAGUAUAGUAGGCUCAUAACGAAUAUUUGGAAAGUUCAAAAAUUUUAACCCUUGCUUUCUUUGCAUUUCUACGAGAGUUUGGUGCAAUAAUUGAGUUCAAAAUUGCAGAGUGACACAGAUAUUUCGAGAACAUUAAAAAGUCAUAUUUUAUGAGCUUACACCACCCAAUUCAAACCACGUAAUUACACACACAUAGUAUUUGUAUUUGACACCAUAAAUUCAUUAAUUUAACUACUAAUCUCCCCAUGUCUAUCACAACUUUUUUUAAUGGAGGGUCUAGUUUACGUCAACUCGAUUAAUUUGAUGAUUAAUAUAGUAUUUAAUUUUAUAAUUACACACUUAAAUGUGUAUUAUUUUACGAUGAAUUGCACAAACUCAACUAAUUUCAACCAACAAUAUAAAAUCCUAAUUAUGUAUUAUUUUUAUAAGGAGAGUCGAACCUGAAACCGUCCCUACCGACCUACGCAAUCUCAUUGUACUAGUGGCCUAUCUUAAAUUUGUAAGUUUUAGAAAUUUCUCCUCUUUGUAACCAACCUUCUCUUAUAUAAACAUCUUUGCAUAUUGGCAAUAGAUAUCUUGAGUUUCUUAUGCAGAGAGCUAAGCUUUCUAAUAUUCUUCAACUAGCUUUUCCUCUGUAAAACCCGUGCAAAGCCAAGCUAGCAUUGUAGAAUUACUUAUAAGCUCUCUGCAUUUCAAGAUCAAUGAAGAAUCAAACUCAUGUUUUUUCACCGAAAAUUUUUAGUCCUUCGAUUCAGGGACUCGUAACUGUCCUGUAUUACAUCCUUUUCUUCGCAAUAGGCCUAACUUUCGGAAUCAUUAUUACUUUCCACUCGAAAAAUUUCUCGUUUAAUCUGCAGCUAACACAAUUCUCCCUCUCCACGUCUUCGUAUCCUCCCUCGCUGCCCUCACCGUUAUCAUCAUCGUCAUCGUUGUCUAGUCGUUCUAGUGCUAAUAAAACGUUGAAGAGUAGGGUUGGUUUACGCGAUUUUGUGAGGCCGCCAAGGCUUAUGCAUGACAUGAGUGAUGAUGAGUUGUUGUGGAGGGCUUCAAUGACUCCGAAUAGGAAGGAGUUUCCGGGUCCCAGGCAAACGUCGAAGAUUGCAUUUAUGUUCUUGAUCAAACAGACAGUUUCGUUUGCUCCUUUGUGGGAGAAGUUUUUUAGAGGCAAUGAAGGACGGUACUCAAUAUAUGUGCAUUCUGAUCCGUCUUAUAAUCAGUCCGAGACUGAGAGCUCGAUGUUUCGUGAUCGGAGAAUUCCUAGCAAGGUAAAGUAUGACUAAUUAUAAUGAAUUUGCUGCAUUACAUAUUACAUAUUCAAGAACAUGUAACUUUACUGAUCAUUCUCUAGAUAUUCUUCGUAUUUAUUAAAAAAAUUAAACACAUUCACACACUCAUCUCAAUUUUGACGAGAUUUGAGCCAUCAAUCUCCGGUAAACGGAGCAAGGGAUACCAACUGAUCAAGAGGUCAUUGGUUGGUUAUCCCUUAAACACAUUCAUACACUCAUCUUACUUUUGACAAGAUUCGAACCAUCAACCUCUCGUAAGUAGAGCGAGGAGAUACCAUCUGAUCAAGAGGUCAUUGGUUAUCCCCGGUAUUUUUUUUAACACAAGUUUGAGGAAAUACCAUCUGAUCAGGAGGUCAUUGGUUAUCCCUGUAUUUUUUAACACAAGCUUCUUCUCGACUUGAUCUGUUACUCAUCUAAACAGCUGUCUCUAUCAUGACCAAAACAGAGAUUGAAUAAUCUAAGAAUGAAUUACAUGCGACCAUUAGGCCACCUAUAUCUUGUGAUUUUGCAAAUUUGUACUAAAAUUUGAUAAAAAUUGGUUGUGUAAGACGCAAUACUAAAUGGUCAUAUCUAGCACACAAGCCUAACGCAUCAACAUGGUCGAAAAUUGAAUCUUCUGCUAAUUUUUAUCUACGGCUAAAACCAGAACGGAAAAUACGACUGCUACGACUACAGAAAUUGGCAUUAAACUCGUGGAAGAUAGCAUCACAACAUUUAACAUGCUAUGUAAGAUCUCAGAUAAAUCAUUAUUAAAACAUUAGUAGGGCAAUUAUAAUUGAUUGAGUAAUAUUAACCGAAAACUCUAUGUAAUUAAGCUACGUAGGCUAUAUAAGUAACAAGAAUCCUUGGUGUAGUUUGGUGAACUUAAAAUUAACAAACAAGUCAUGAUAUAUGGUCUGAGGGAAAAAGUCACGUGGUAGGCUUGGUAGCUAAGCUAGCUGAUGGUUGGCAACUAACUGCAAUUCACCAACCUACUUCACAAAAUUCUUACUACUCUUUAGUACCUCUUUUUGGAAAUACGUGGCGAUUCUCGACAACUUCUAAAACUUUUCUUCUCAAUAGGCCAUUGCCCAUUUAUGUCAGAGGACUCAAACCCCUUGUGACCUAAGCUCUGAUAUUAAGCAACUGGUCCAUGACCUGAGCUCUGAUAUCAUGUUAAGCACCUAGUCUAUGACCCGGGCUUGCCAUUUCACCAUAGAUGUAUUAAUAUAUAUCGAUAACUAAUAAGAUGGACUUAACUUUACACAUCUGUGAAUGUUAUAUGAUUUUUGAUUGUCAUGUAUCGUUAUGUAAUCGAUUAUGUUAUUUUAUGGAAUUUGGUAUAUCACGGUUGUAAAUUCACCAUUUUGAAAUGCAGGUAGUAGAAUGGGGAAACGCUAACAUGAUUGAAGCUGAGAGGCGUUUGCUAGCCAAUGCACUUCUUGACUUUUCGAAUCAGCGUUUUGUCCUGCUCUCUGAAUCAUGCAUUCCUCUGUACAAUUUCUCCACCCUAUAUUCAUAUCUCAUGAACUCCUCUGAGAACUUCGUCGAGGCCUAUGAUUUAAACAGCCCUGUUGGACGUGGUCGCUAUAGCCAAGAAAUGUACCCGACAAUAAAACUCAACGAAUGGAGAAAAGGGUCUCAAUGGUUUCAAAUCGACCGUCAGUUAGCCAUCCAAGUGAUCUCUGAUACUACAUAUAUCACCAUGUUCCAGAAAUACUGCAAGGGCUUGUGUUAUUCUGAUGAGCAUUACCUGCCUACAUUGGUGAGCACUAAAUACUGGAAGAAGAAUUCGAACAGGACAUUGACUUGGGUCGAUUGGUCGAGGGGCGGGCCUCAUCCGUCGAGGUACUCAGACACAGAUGCAACUGAGGAGUUCCUGCAGAAGAUGAGGACUGAGAAGCAAUGCAAGUACAAUGGUAAUGUAACAAAUGUUUGUUAUAUGUUUGCAAGGAAGUUUUUGCCAAGUGCUUUGGAUAAGUUGUUGAUACUUGCACCUAAGGUUAUGCAUAUAAAGACAUAAACAUAAAUUUAAGUUUCAUAUACAUGAUUUGUACUUCUGUAAUUCCUAAUCCUAUAUAUGAUAUACAUUUGCAAGAAUGAUCAAGGUACUAAGCAAUUCAGCAAUUAGAGAAGCAACGGGUAUAGAAAUAGAAAAUAAGAAGAAAAAAUUAAUUAUAAAAAAAAUUGCACAAGGCAAUAGUAAUGAAUCGAUUGAUAUACAUAUGACUCUUUAAUCUUAUACGUUCACUUCAAUUAAACUCGAAAUAGUUUAAGAACAAGCUUAAAAGCAGGAACACAAGCCUUGUACAGUAAAAAACACUAUGUUGAAUUGAUUAACAAGAUAACCACCGGGGGUGAGCAUCGGGCGGUUUGGAGGGUCUAAACCAAAUCAAACCGAAUUAAUCGGUUUUUCAAAAUCUCAAUCCAAAACCAAACCAUUAUAUUUAAAAUCCAAACCAAACCAAUCCGUUUAAAACGGUUCGGUUCGGUUUGGUUUCGGUUUAAACCGUUUUUUAUAUGUAAAACAAAGUUAGCAACAAAAUUAAAUUUUAACUUGAAAAAUAAGGAAUGAAAAAUUCAAUUUAUAUUUUCUAUUUAAUCAUAUUUAAAGAGGAUACAAGAAUAUAUUAGCUUGAUAAAUAAAAAUAUAAAUAAAAAGAAUGAAAACAUAUUACAUCAUAAUUAAUAUCAUAAAAUAGAAUAAAUAAUAUUUUUAAGAAAAUCUUGACUAGGAUACCUUUUGUAUGUUUAAGAUUUUACAUUUUUUUGUAGAUUAUAAUUUUAUUUUUAAUAAUACAUUAUUAGUACAUGUAUAUUAAUGUUUAAAUCUACACAUUCGGUUCGGUUCGGAUUUAUCGGUUGGUUUGGAGGUAAAAACCAAAACCAAACCGAAAUAAUUCGGUUUUUAUUAUUUGAAACCAUAACCAAACCAAACCGUUAUUAAACCGUUAAAUUCGGUUUGGACGGAUUGGAUCGGCCGGUUUCGGUCGGUUUGGAGAAUUUUUGCUCACCGCUAACCACCACGCCACUAUAUUAAAAAGGCAUCUCAUUACCACCAUAAGAACAAGAUUACUGUGUUAAGUUUCUAACAAAACAACUAUAAGUAGUAUAUUAGUAAGAUUAAGAUGUCAGCUUUCUAAUGUCUUACAUAUUAGCUUUGCUACAGGAGGUAUAUAGCUAUUUUGCUUUGGAUAAAAAAUUACAGAAUGUUCUUUAACCCAGAAAGGUACCUGAGUUUCGCAUCUAUGUUCAUGCUGUUUAGUAGACAAUUCAAUCAAUCUUUUCUCGAACUAUAUCAACAAGAUACCCAUUCAAAUUCUGGCCAAAUAUUUUGGUAGAAAAUGACUCUUCAACAUGCCGCCGGGCUUCUUUACCCAUACUUUCUGCUAACUGUGCUUCCGUAAUAAAUUUGCCCAUCGCGAAAGAGAAGGCUCCUGGAUUAGGGUCACAGAGGAACCCAGUAAUACCAUCCUUGAUUGUCUCAACAGGGCCCCCGCUGUUACAAGCAAUGACUGGCUUUUGCGCUGCCAUUGCCUCAAGGGGGACAAUCCCAAAGUGUUCAUCCUACACACAAAGUGCAGUUCUCAUAUAUUUUUAACAUGUGAAGCCUACUCUGGUUUAUCCAAAUAUAUAUAUGUGUAGCAAUCUACAAUACCUUGGGUGUAUAAAGAACACACAGGCAGUCGGAGAGAAAUACGUUCCUUUCUGAUGUAGAACAAGAUGUGAUAAAUUUAACACGGUCAGACACACCCUCUCUAUCGGCCAAUACUUUAAGCUCCUCCAGGUAUUCAACAUUCUCUUUUAGGCGUCUGUCAAAGCCACCUGAAAAAAAAGGCAAAUAUAUAAUGCAUUUGCAUUGCAUCUGCUUCACUGAACAAGGAACACUACGAUGUAUACAUACAUUACUCAAUUUUUACUGGAACAGCCUAAAUGAAAUAGCAAAGUUUAUAAAAUAGAAAUCCUUAUUUGCUGAACUGCACUUGGAUGGUACAGACAACUGAAGAUAAUAAUUGAUUCCUUAGAACAUAGUACUAAGUUUUGUACAUUUAUGCGUAUAUAUAACUACAAAUUGCCUCAAUGACGAAUUGUAGACGCCCAAGUACUCGAACCUUAGUCAAUGAGAAUAUUAAAAAGAAAUUUCUAGUAUAUCUGUGAGAAAAUACAACCUGACUUGGCACCUCUAAGUAUCUAGAACAGAAUAAUUACCAAACCACAACAUGACAAUCACAGAGUGGAAAAUGGAUACUUUAUGAUAUUCUGCAUCACCAAUAUAUAGCAGAAGUGGUAAUUCUUCAAGUCUUCUUCUCGUCUAGAUAGGAUUAUGAAUUUUUCUUUUCUUCAGUUCACAAUUUAGUUAUUUGGUACUUUUCAUCAAUCAGCAAUCACCAUGCAAGAACAAUAUAUCAACCUGAGCUGUUCUACUCUAUGUCGGGAUUAAAGUCAUGCUUUAACUUUCUCUACUUCUCGCCAGAAGGUCCGCUAAUAAGUUUUCCCUGUCCAGGUGCUAGUAAAUUAACGGUUGGCACUAGUUAAACAAAUGGAUUGUCAGAUUCAAUCCCACAAAUCUGUUUAAUUUUCUUUGCAGAGUUACUUUUUAAAGUUGUUCUUAAAAUGGAAGUUUCCAGAAACUUAAAGUGAUUGCAAGGAAUCUAUGAUAUUUUCCAUCAACGUAAUACAAAGAUGGCAACUCUAAGAAACAAAUUGUGGUCAGGGGACACUGAUGGAAGGGAUACAUAAGGUGGAAAUUUGUUUAAGUAAUUAAUGCAUUUAAGACAGGGUAACCCCAUUAGGACUUGAACUGUGAUAAAUUAAAAUUUGUCAAUUAGUUUGAAGACAAACAAUGCUGAUUUGUGAGGACUGCAGUUAUGAUAUUGUAUAACGAGCCUUGAGCUUGAGGUAUGACACUUCAUUUAGGUGUUCUAACCCGCCACCACACAUUUAUGAGAUCGAGAAGAGAAGAAAGUACCAACUCAUCCUAAUCAAUGCCAUAUCUUCAACGCCCAAAAAAAGCGACAUAAAGUUCAGAUGUGGUAAUAUUAUCAAUGUUACCAAACACAUCAAAUUUGUUAUGUAAUAACACACACAUAUAUGCUGCAACAUAUAUUAUAUGCAUAUCGGGUUAAAAUCAGUUUGAACUCAUUAAGGUAGACUAAAACAGUGACCAGAAAGAACCAGCUGGUUUUAGGAAUACCUCAACCUAAACCACAGUCUGCAAUCGGCUAAAAAUUAGUUUUAUAUUUGAUCUAACCCAAACCCAUAAUCACCCCUAAUGAUAGAGCAGGUAGAAAAAUUAUACUCAGUAUGUGGCAACACUACGUAAUAUACUGUGCAAGUAUAACCUAGAUAGAUAGAUCAAUAGAACAGAUGAUAGAUCAUAGAUGAGAUAACAGGGCAAUGAUGACUGAUCUCAGGCUGUAAUCUAUCAUUGACUUGCCUACAAUGGUCAAGGUAGCAUCAGCCAAGUUACGUCCUUGAAGAAGAUUCCUUUCAUCUUUGCAAAGAAUUGAAAAUGCAGAAACAGCCAAGUCUAUGUUCUUUUUCCUUUCAAAUCGAUUGAUGGAAAGAAAAUUCAACCUGAAAAAGAUUAGCAAGUAUAUUUAGAUUAAUAUUCAAAAAGACAGGGUUGCUUAACCAAGAAUAUAACAUUGCCGUUUCUAAUUAAUCUAAAAACUAGAAUGUACCAAGAGAUAAAAAGAUUUAUAUUACUUGAAAGCAUUGGGUUUAUUGAACUGUUCCACAUUAACUGCUGGAUAUAGCACAGCUGGUCUAACUGCUUGCGAAUCAAGAUUUUUGAAGGUCUUUGCAAAAGUUGUUGCAGUAAACUUGCUGUUAACCAAAAUCAAAUCUGCCAUUCCUGUACUUUUAUCAAGCAAUUGAAUAAGAAAAGAUUCAUGUUACAAGUAGCACUUAUAUAGCAUAUAAUUUAAUGGAAGUUACAAUGUGUACUAGACCUGUUGUUACUUCCUCUACAAAGUCUAUAGGCUUCCGAUAUACCCUCCUCAGAGAAGUUGUAUGUUGAGCUAACAGCAAAUCGGGAAAAUGGCAAUAAAAUACAACCUGCAUAGGUAAUGGAAAUUUUGAGAAUACGUGGGUUUACAGUCACGACGGAAAACUGGAAAAAGAGGAUGCUGGUAAAAAAUGAUGUACAUAAACACAGAAGCGCAGCACUUGAAAAUAAAUAUAUUUCGUGCCCCACUUUGCCAUAUUGCAAAUGACAGUAUGAUACCAAAUAUCUGAAAUCCAAGUUAAUUUGAUGCUACUUUAGUUACAUUAAAACUAUCUUAGUAGUCUUCGAAAGCUAUCCUUAUCGCUGGGCCAUAUUGACCACUCCCUUUCAGUCCCUUUUUAACAUCCAUCUGUUGUAAAAGCAGCUAUACAUGGUUCCAAAUUUUAGUUUUAAACUUACACAUAUGUUUUAACUAGAAGACCAUAAAGUCAUGGCAUCAUAUUUGACCUUGUGAAGUCAUAACAUCCUUAGCAUUUAAGCCUAAAGAUCAACAGCUUAAGGUAUAUAUGAAUAAUUGAAUAAACUAAAAUAAACAACUAUCUUCAUAAUCAAAAUUAUUCAAGAUAUUUUAAGCCUAGAUCAAUCAACUUACAAUUAAGUAUAACAAUUGACAUAGUCUUUCUUUCUACACUUCUGAAAACUUAUAAUCUUAAGCUAAUAAUCUUAUUCUGCAUGCAAAACUCUCAGAAAGAAUUUACUUAAUACAAAUAAAGAAAUGAACUCUCCCAUAUCAAUCACAAUUAUCAAGAUAUUUUAAACCAAGAAAGUAAUCAAGCUACUAUUAAAUAAAAAUAAUUACAACUGAAGUAAAAAAAAAAAAGCAUUUGAUUAACACUUGCAAAAAUUUUAGAAUUUUAUGCUAAUAAUCUUGUUCUUAAAGCAAAACUCUCAUAAAAUCUACUUAAUACUUAUAAACAGAUUCAAAAAUAUGCUACAAAAUUAAUAGUUUAAAAAAUAGUAAAUCUUGAUACAAGAAAAAUCACCUUUGACGACCUUUUUAACUUCAUCAGUGGAAUGACAACAGAGACUUGAUCGACGAGUACUACGUCAAAGGAUUUCCACAUAAAUAACAUGCACAGGGCAACGAAUAUGCAGCGAAGAUAUGCGCACAAUGCAUGAAAAUGCUGGAAGAUAUGUCGGGGCAGGAAAGAACCAUAUACUGUAACGGGAAAACUACCUGGACAUUUUCGUUCAGGGGUAGAUCAAAAUUUUGAAAGAUAUAGGCAACAGAAUAUAAAUUAGCCAAUUACUUUGCCGUGUGAUAAAAUUAUUUAUUAUUCUCACCAGAAAGAGUCUCCUCAAAACAUCGAUUUUUAUCAUGGUGUGCAGUAAAAAUAUGAACGUUAUGGCCAUGGGAUGCGAGUUCUACGGCAGCGUCAACAAUUAACCUUUCAGCUCCACCUACUCAUGUGAAGUUAGAAACAGACCUUCAGGUAAAGUAAUUAUAACACGAGAUAGAACAUUAAACAUAAAGAGUAACAGGAGAAUGUGAUGAGCAGAAGUUAACUUCAUAUGCUAGAAAACAAUUUAGAGCCCAAUAUCUUAUAGGUUUUGUUUGAGUUUCAGAGUGUGUGGGUGGGUGGGUGGGUGGGUGUUCAGGGGUAGGGUUUGAGCUGAACAUUAUCCAAUAAGAAGCAAGCUGGUAUCCUCUUCUAGUGUAUUUAUUUGUAUAAAAUGAGGAGAAACAUGUUUCUGCCUGUACAAAAAGAGAAUAUACACACAUCUCUAGGUAUCAUUUGCAAGUUUUGGUUUCAAGGGAAAUUUCUAUUAAUAUUUGUUCUUGUACAAUUUUGCAAUUUACACAGACGAUCUAAUCUAAGUCAGUACAAUAAUAAGGUGAAAGUGCAGAAGCUAUCCCUGAUCCUCCAUUAAAGACAACAAUCCAAUAUAACAACAAAACAUAUCUACUAUAUACACAGAAUAUAUGUAUACUAUGUAUGUGAGUUAAAACCAACAUUACCAAUUCCGAGAUCCGGAUGAAUGAUGCCGAUAUUUAACUUAAGUCCACCCUUUUUCUCCAUCGCCUCCUUCCCUAAAUCAGUAGUGAAUAACUAUAAGAUAAAGACCUACAACUAACUGUGCCAAACAUGCUCCAAAUGAAAACCUCACUGCCUGAUUUCUCUCAACCAGUAAUUUCGUUAAUGAUCAAAGCUUAUGCCUUUCAAGAACUGUAGAAUCUCAAAUCACAUAAGCAGUGAAUUACAGUUAUAAACUGUUUAUCUAAAAGACCAAAGAGCAUAUCGAAAACUAUAAUAUUUGCGGAAAUUUUUAAAGAGUCCAGAUAUGUACUAAAUCAAGAGUAUAUUUUACUAAUUCAGUUCACAUAAUCUGUCGUAGCGAGUAAGAAGGCACUUAAUUAAUUUCCCAAACACCGUUCUCCUUUUCGUAAUAAAUGUUCGAGGGGUCAAGCCUCUCCACAGGUACUGGUUCAUGAGCAUUCAAAUUUUCAUAACAGACCAUAAUCAACUAAACCAAUUAAAACAUAAAGACCCGAAUCUAAUGACCUAUGCAUUACCAAAGUUCUCAAAUUUUUAAGCCGAGUAGUCACAUUUAACACACAAGUUAACAAUUCACACUAAUCAAAACAUUCUAGAAUUCUCAGGGGAAUUUCAUCAAACACUGUCAGGCCUUAAUUAAUCACUCAGUUUCUCAAGCUCGAUUCUCGAAUACCCCAGCUAAACAAAAGGGCAGUAGGGCACAUCAAAGAUUUCAAUACGCAACAACCCAUUACUAAUUAACAAAGAAACUAUCAACAAAAAAAAAAAAUCACGCAUAAAAUAACCAUCCCAGCUGAAUAGCUUCAAAUUUUGUAAAAAGAACAGCAAAUAAUGAAGUGAAGUAGUGAAUAAUUACCAAGAAUGCUAGCGCAGUACAAAACGAUGGGUCUACAAUUGUAAUAUGCUUGAUGAUAGCAAUUUGAUAUAAUUGAAGUUGACGAACAAAUUUGAGGAAAAGUGAGUCAGCUAUACAGGGAGAUUGCAGACUGAUAGAGUUUGGAAUUGUUUAUUACUAUUACUUACCUUUAACCCGUGUGACACGAACGGAACGGAGUAUAUAAUUCUUAAUUUAUUAUUUAUUAUUUAUAUAAAUAAUAAUUUAUUUUUCAACUAAUUAUAAAUUAUAUUUAAGAUGAUAAUGAUAAAAUUUUUAUCUUACAUGAUAGUGUUUUUAGUAUUUGUAAUUAUUUAAUAAUAAUAAAAUUAUAAUUUUAUACAAAUAGUACCAAACUAAAAAUGCAUAAUACUCAUGUUAGCUUAUUAUAAGAUAGUAUAGAUGUUUUUUCUUCUUUUUUACUGUACUUUAUUUUCCUUGGUGUGAAUAUUUUCAAAUAAUUUUUAAUUAUAUAUAUAUAAAAGGAUAUUAGGACCGUUUUUGGAAAAUAGUUAUAAAAAUAACUAAGGUGUUGUAUCAACACAAAAUAUCUUUUGGGAUCAAGUAUAAUGGUUCGAGAUUCAAUAAUUAGUUUUUUUUAAGGAAUAAAAUUAUUCAAAUUUCUUGAUUAAAGCCAAAUAUUAAAUAUAAAAUAAUUAUGAUGAUUAUUGUAUUAUGAAGAAAGGUAGCACGUCUGAGCUCGAUUCCUUAAUAAUCGAAUAUCAACAUGUACUGUCACGAGAAAAAUAAGAAUUUAAUAUUCGGUUCCUUAACAAUUGAAUGUUAACAAUCGAAUAUCAACAUAUACUGUCACAAAAAUAAAAAUUCUAACAUACAUACAUGCAGAGUCAUGUUAUCAAACGAAAAAUUAACAUGUAAUGUUCAUUUUCUGGCAUAUUUUUUUAGACUGAUAUAUUGAUAAUAAAUGAUUAUUUUAAAUCAACAACCCGUAAGAAUAAUAUUAAAAUGAGAAAAUAGAUUUUCUUGCCACCCAACUUAUUAUUUGUUUAGAAACCUACCACUGAAUUAUUAUUUUUUUCUUUUUUGCCACUAAUGUUAGGUUCGGAUUUUUUUUUUGUCACUAAAGCUAGGUUCGGAUUUGAUUAUUACCACUGAACUAUAAUUUUUUUCUUUUUUGCCACUAAUGUUAGGUUCAGAUUUUGUUUUUGUCACUAACGCUAGGUUCAGAUUUGAUUAUUAACACUAUGUUAUUCUAUUUUUCCGACCAUCUAAACGAUAUUUUUCGGAAAUCUAUUUUUCGGUAGUCUGCAAUAUAAUGGUGAUCUGUGUCUAUAUCUUUAUAUGUAGUACUCCAUGUGUGUCCUAGGUAGUUUAUCUUGGAGGACGAGAGUACGGAUUUUUUUACUCAGAAAAGGAAAUCUCAAAAUUAACUUAUGGAACUAUAUUUAUAAAAAGUGGGAACCUUAAAAUACGUGACAAGUAGUGGUAAAAACUAUAAAGUCAAGUUAUACUAUAUUUUUGUGGAGUCCUAAAAUAAUUUAUAAAACUAAUUUUUUUACGUUCUUAAAAUGCUUGUUAAACUCUCGUACUUCCAGGUAAACUAGCUAGGAGACGUAUAGAUGACUGUAUAUAUUGUUAUAGACACAUAUCAUAUCACCAUAAUAUUGAAGACUACCGCUAUGUUUUUAUAACGAUAAAAAAAUAACAUAUUGUUAAUAAUCAAAUCAAAACAUAACGUUAGUGACAAAAAAAAAUCCAACGUAUUUUUAAGGGAAAAAAAAACCAACAUUAAAUUUUAUUCAGAAAAAAUAAAAUAAAAUAAUUUUUGAAAUUUUUCGGAGUCUCAAAAUGCGUGUCCAACUCUCGUCCUCCAAGGUAAACUACCCAGGACACUACAUAUAAAGAUAUAGACACAUAUCAGAUCGCCAUUAUAUUGCAGACUAACACUAUAUUUUAAUAAUGCUAAAAAAAUAACAUAGUGUAAAUAAUCAAAUCCGAACCUAACGUUAGUGACAAAAAAAAGUCUAAACCUAACAUUAGUGACAAAAAAGAAAAAAAUUAUAAUUCAGUGGUAGGUUUCUAAACAAAUAACAAGUUGGGUGGUAAAAAAAUCUAUUUUCCCUAUUAAAAUCUAUUUUCUUUUACUAAAAUAAAAGUAGUAUUUUAUACCUUAUUUGUAACCAACUAAUUCUUUCAAUAUUAAUCAGUCGAUCGAUAAUCUCUUCUCGCCGUUCGUAAUUAAUACCGAUAAUUUUGGUCGGAACCGUUCAUAAUACAAUAACUAAUAUUGUAUUUGGUUCAAUUUAAAUAUAAGAUUUUCGAACAUAAUUAGACAGUCAAAUAGCAGGCUUGUCAUUUAUUCGGGAUACCCGAAUUCGACUUAUACUCACUUACGAAAAAUAUUAAAACACUUACUUAUUUACAAAAUAUAUGUCUAGAUUAUCAAAAAAAAAAUAAUAUAAUAUUCUCCGCAUAGGAAAAAUAAAAAUUAACAUAAUACAGCUGCUACGCUGGGUAAUAUCUGUCGCAUAAAAUGUAACAUGUACACACAACGGAUAUAAAUGGACAAAGCUUAUAUGCCUUGAAACAAACAGAAAUGGACAAACUUUCCAAAGUAUUACUCCCUCCGUCCCGCCCAAUUCUUUACAUUGGGUUUGGGCACGUAGGUUAAGAAAUAUGUAUAAAGUAGUAGAAAAGAGAAAGAAAAGUGGGUGAAGUGGCGGGACCCACUGAUUUUUAAUAUAUAAAAAAGAGAUAGUGGAGUAAAAGUAGUGUGAAAAGAAAGAAAAAGUGGGAAAGUGGUGGGACCCAUUAACUAUUUUAGGAAAGUUUUGUAAUGUAAAGAAAUGGGUGGGACGGCCAAAUAAGGAAACUGUAAAGAAUCUGGUGGUGGGACGGAAGGAGUACACUAUUAGUAAAGCUUAUCAUGAUCUACAAUUGCUACUGGCCAGGCCUUGCCACUUGCUCACAUGCUUCAAUAGUUUACUUGUUGGUUCAUAUAAGUUAACAAAGGGAAAUAAACAAGACUUUGAGCACAUGAAUAAUGUCUUAAAUGAGGAUUAGGAGAAACUGAGGUUACUACAUGCAGUUUAGGAUGAAACUAACGGUCGUAGCUUAAUUGCAAGGAAAAAAAACAUUUACAGCACCAUUGGAAUCUAAUGAAAAUGCUAAUUAAACUAGCUAAAAAAUACUGUUUCUGUCUGUACUCUCAUUGACUAGCUCCUCCGCAAUUAUCAUCAGAGGCAGAUACAGCUGGUGAGUCCUCGGAGAGGGAAUCGUGAGAUGGAGAGACCUCAACCCCUCGAAUCUCCUCUAUCAUUUUCACUACCUGACUCAUUGUCGGGCGUUGAUCAGGAGAGGCUGCUGUACAGGCCAUUGCAAUCUGCAGCAACCCGACCAUCUCUUCCUCGAUAUUUUUGUAUCUCAUCAACUCCAAGUCGAACACCUCUGCUGUCCACUCUUCCCUAACCACUGACUGCACCCAUCGUGGCAAAUCUAUCCCCCCGCCGUCUACCACUGUGGAAGGGCACUUUCCUGUGAGCAGUUCCAGCAACAGUACCCCAAAAGAGUAAACGUCAGACUUCUGGGUAAAUUUUCGGCCACUGUCAUUUGGUGAUUCUGGUGCUCGGUAGCCAUUUGAUCGUGGUGCAACUGAGGUUGCGAAAAGAGAUAGACCAAAGUCAGAAACACGAGGAUUUCCAGAGCUGUCAAAGAGAAUGUUGGUGGAUUUGAUGUUGCCGUGGGUGAGUCUGAGGGACUUGCAAGAGUUGUGGAUGAAGAGUAUCCCACGAGCUGACCCAGCUGCAAUUUUCAGCCUUGUUAUCCAAUCUAGUGGCGCUCGCCCUGGUCCUCUGUUACCUGUCAGAUUAAUAACGAAGCUAGGUUUCAGAAGCAAUUAAACACAUACAUAUAUAUAUGGUAGCUAGUGAAGCAUUUACUAACAAAACUUUGUGCAUCUGUUUUUUACCCGAACAGUAUCGGAAGUUUAGACUAAAUAUUGCAUGUAAGAUUUGUUUUUUAGUACUCGGAAUAUUGUUAUCAAUUGGAAGUUGAGUAAACAUAGCAUUGCGUGACAGUGUAGACCGUAGAAUACAUAAUUAUAUUUAAGCGUAUGAUUUAAAAAAAACAGGAUAAUGACAAUAUCAAUUGGUGCAGAUGAUGGUAAUCAUAAUAGGGCAUCAUGCCAGAAUAUAAAAUUUAACAGCAGAGCAUGCUUAUAUUAGGUAACAUGGGAUCAAAAAGUAGAGACUAGGGAAUAGUAAAUAACAUGAAUGUCAUCAGAAAAAUAAUCAGAAUCAUGUUACUUUUCUGAUCCUAACACAUACAAUCUUCUUGCCCAUUAUUCUUGUGUACCCGACUCCUAGUACAUUGCUUUUGUCGCAUGUGAGUAGUGAUAGUGUAAGUACUUAGCACUAACUACCUUGAUAAAGAGUUAACCAGUACUAAUAGUGGAUCUUAAGAGUUACGUGAAUAUAAUCAUGGUCAUAUAUUUUUUUCCGGACACCCACCCCCACAACAGGUUCCAUUUUAUUAUUUAUGCAAUGUAACUUCGAUAUUGAAUCAGAAUCUAUGAACUUAGUCGAGUGAAGUACAGGAAUCAGACAAGACGGACUGAAGCUUAAUAUACAUCUGCUGAAUAAUACAGAAUAUCAUCUCAAUAUCAUGAUAGGCAAUUUUACUGGCGGAAUACUUUGAGCAGUUUCUGAAAUGAUCAAAAAUCUUUACAAGGAAUCAAAAAUUUGAAAUCAAUAUUCUAAACAUUUCCGAUACUUCCACGUUCCAUCAAUGAUGCACUUGCUAAUGAAGCGCGGGUUCUACAUACCACCCAACCUCCCCAAUCCCUAUACCUUACUUGCACCUCACCAGGCUCUGCGUUUACACUACUUCGAAAUGAUAUAUACUUUGUAACUUUGUAUAUGUCGGUUGCUACUUAGUGCAGGAAACACAUUACAAGUUUAAUCCCAACAAAUAGUUAAGCCUACAACCUAAUCAAUUACAUCUAUACAUCGCAGAAUUAAGCAUUUAAACUACAAAUACAAAUUAAAGAAGUCAUGAAAUGUAUAUAGGCAGCAACAGAAAACAUACCAUGUAGAAGCCAAAACAAGUUCCCAUUAGGCAUGUAAUCGUAAACCAACAACUUCUCAUCCCGCGCAAAAUAAUAAGCCUUCAAACUCACCAAAUUCUCAUGUCUUAACCUCCCCAACACUUCCAUAUGUUGCUCAAACUCCCUCCUCCCACCACUACCUCCACCUGCCUCUUUCAACCUCUUCACCGCAACCACAUUCCCAUCAUCAAGCACCGCCUUAUAAGCCGUCCCAAACCCUCCUUUCCCUAACAUCUCCGCACUAGCUCUCAACAAAUCCUCGAGCUCAAACCUAUUGACCCCCUCAAAAAACACCAUUUUCCCUCUCUCGAACCCGUGCUGACCAGUAGGAUAUGGACUCGUUGAAUACACAAUUUUCUCCCCUUCUACAAUCUGCGCCGACCCGACCCCAUUUCCACUCUUCCGGGUCCAAAAAUAACAAUACAAGAGCAGUGACACUACAGCUAAAACAAUCACAUCAGCUAUUAUAAUAGCCACUAUAGCAAAAGGGCUUAUCUUACUACCCCCACCAUGCUCAUCAUUCCCCGAUUUUAUCGGAGCAACUUCAUUCUUUGGUAACGACGUCGGAGAAGAAGACACAAUCACCGGAGGUACAGAGCCCGACCCGGACAAUCCGGGUCGGGUUCCUGGUAUAAUACCGGGUCGGGUCGGGUCAUUUGAGCAGUUCUUCAGCGGGGGUCCACAUAAACCCAAAUUCCCAGUAAACGCUGUCCCCGGAAAACCAGCCAAAAAACCCGGAAUUUCUCCGGCGAGCUUGUUGCCGGACACAUUAAAUUCUUGAAGACUCGGCAGGUUUAUCCUGGAAAUGUCGCCGGAAAAGCUAUUUCCUUCUAACCGGAGAGUAAGAAGAUGCGAAAGCCCGUUAACACUCACAGGAAUCUCACCAGAGAGAUUAUUGAACGACAAAUCGAGCCGGAAAAGCCUUCCCAAACCAACCGGGAACUCGCCGGAAAAAGCAUUAUGUGACAAAAACAAGAGCUUCAAAGCAGUAAGCUUAGAGAGAUCGGGAAUGCGUCCUGUAAAAUUAUUCCUUUUGAGACUCAUGACUCGGAGAUGACUCAGUGAAGUGAGUGGCUCGAAAUUACCGGCGAGUUGCAAGUCCUCGAGAACGAGUCGAGAGACCCGGUUAUCGAGGCAGGAAAUGCCGACCCAGGUGGCGCAAGGGUCGGUUUGAUUGGUCCAUGAAGAGAGCUUGGUGUUGUCGGUAUCAGCAGAUGAUUUGAAUGAGAGUAAAGAGUGUGUUUCUUGUGGGUUUAAGAGGGCGUAGAGGGGAGUGAGGUGCAGGAGAGUGAGUGUUAGGAGGAUUGGCAAAUGGGGGUUUGAAAUGGGCAUUGUUGAGAGAGAGAGAGAUGGCGGAGAGACUGAUAAAACGAGAGAGAGAUGGCGGAGAGACUGAUAAAAUGAGGGGGAGAGAGAGAGGGGGGGAGAUGAAAUGGAAGGGGGUAACUGUGUGAUUAUGAGUUUGUGCAAGCAAGAGCGAGUAUCAAAAAAUAAAUGCUAGUGUUGUGGUUUGCGUGAAAAAUUACUCCCUCCGUCCCUAUUUAUCUGUCCACUUUGGAAGUUAAAAUUUGUCCCUAUUUAUCUGUCCAUUUAUACUUUCAAAACUAAUUUAAUGAUAGUUUUUCAAAUAUAUCUUCAUAAUUUCAAUUUUCAAGGCUUGACUUAUUUAAAAUUUGGUUGAAUUUAUGUUUUCAAGACAUAAAGUAGGAGUAUUCCACCAUUUUCAAGAUAUUAAUUAGAGGUAUUUAAUGAAAAAGUUUACACAAUCAAUUAUUCCUUGGUAUGUGUUUCUUUUUCCAAAGUGGACAGAUAAAUAGGGACGGAGGGAGUAAUAGCCUUGCUCUAGAAAAAUAUAUGUGUCCGUUUUGGAUUUUUAUGAUAUUCCAGGUUGUAAAUUGAUCAAUUUCUUCGUUAUUUUUUUAAAGCCAGAUUGAUCAAUUUCUGAUCUGAUUUACGGUGAUUAUAAAAGAGCCCAACAAGUCUUUUCAACUUAUUCUUCUUUUUCUAGCAGUGGUAUAAUCGAGCCGAGUCGAAUACUGUAGGCUCGACUUGAGCUCUAUUAAAAAAUUCAGGAUUCGAAUUCAAGUUCGAUGAGAAGUUUAUAUAAAAUAUUGUGUUUCAAUAUUAUUAGUUGUAUUAGAUUUUUUUGAUAAUUUAUCAUGUACUACAACGGUACCAGUUGAAUCUGAUACAUAAUCGGUUUUAUAAAAAACGAUAUUAACUCGUAUUGAUUGCAUACUUAACAACACAUGAGUGCAGUAAUAAAUUCAUUCUCGGGACCGAUAAACAAUGCAAGUGCGAGUCAACUGCGCAAUUUUCUUAGCCAAAAGACGUUAGGGUUACCCACAGAUCACAGUAGUAGUAGGGAGGGGGUACAGUACUACUACUCCUAUCAUUUAUGCUUGUAUGUGAUGACCGUUUGAGUAGUAACGUUACUUGUACACGCAAGGCAAUCAUCAAAAUUGCUCAAAAGGAGUGUAGUUGUGUCAUGAAAGCCCAGGAGCCUCGGACCCUGUUCGACAUCAGCUCGUGUUUGCAAUUACUUCCUCUGUCCAAAGAAAUGUAUACACUACUCCCUCCAUCCCUUUUUAUCUGUGCAUUUUGAAAAAAAAACACAUACCAAAAAAUAAUUGAUUGUAUAAAUUUUUUCAUUAAAUAUCUCUAAUUAAUAUCUUGAAAAUGGUCGAAUACCCCUACUUUAUAUCUUGAAAACAUGAAUUCAACCAAAUUUUAAAUAAGUCAAGCUUUGAAAAUUGAAAUUAUGGAGAUAUAUUUGAAAAACUAUCAUUAAAUUAGUUUUGAAAGUAUAAAUGGACUGAAAAAUAGAGACAAAUUUUUACAUCCAAAAUGGACAAAUAAAUAGGGACGGAGGGAGUAUUUUUUACACGUUUUUUAAUAGAGUAUUUUUUUAAAAAAAAAAUUCUAAAUAAAAAUUUGAUGUUUAAACUUUUAUUAAAAAAAGAAUUUUAAAAAACAUUAUAUAACUAUAAUUUAUUAAAAUUUCGAAAUGCGUGCAAACAGUGAGCGUAUACAACAUUACGGAGGGAGUAAUAUAUUUUAUUUCUCUUAUUUAUGCACAUUCUGCCAUUGAUUUAUUCCCUUGUAAAUUGUCACCAAAAAAAAAACAGAGUUGUUCUUUCGCACUUAAAUAUAUCUCAGGUAUUAGUAUCUGUGACAAAUAUAUAUAUAUAUAUAUAUAUAUAUAUAUAUAUAUAUAUAUAUGUAUGUAUAUAUAUAUAUGUAUGUAUGUAUGUAUGUAUAUAUCAGGUAUUAAGCCUUUCGGUAAUAAUAUAUCUUAAAAAAAUUAUUGUAAAAAUUGAUUGUCAUGGUCCUGGGUCCAUAUAUGUUUAUUCUUUUGGUAAGUCAAAUUUAUCAUAAUUUGACUGAAAUUUAUAUAUAUUAUAUAAUUUAAAAUAGAAAAAUAUAAUAUUAAAAGUAUAACUAAUCUUAUUUAAAACCUAUUUUUAACUCUCUAGAUAAUAAAUGAAUAAAUUUUAAUAUUUAAUCAAAUGAUGUUCGAUUUGAUUUUUUGAAAUUUAAAAUGGACAUUUAGAAGUUAAAAUAUUUCUUUUAAAUCAUAUCGAAAUAUAAUACAUAUAGGAUGUAAAUUGACCGUUACAAGAUGAAAAAUAAUAUAGUGGAGUUGGAUUUAAAAAAAACUUAUUAACUAAUAUAAAAGUCAAACGAAAGAUGAAGGAGACCAGUGAGAUUAAUCAUGAAAAAUAUAUUUUUUAAUUACGUGUGAUGACAUGGUAGAAUUAGAUUAAAUUCAUUUAAGGAACUAGAUUUUUUCUAAGUUUCUGUCCACUUUUAUUUCUAUAUGAUCCACACACUUUCUUUUCGGAAAUAUUUUAUAUAUCUUAGAUCAAUUUUUAUCUCUUUAAUUCUAUAUACUUUUCUAUAUUUUUAUCUUAAUUAUUAUUUUAAAUAAGAAGAAACAUGAAUAGAAAACAUGUAUGACUAAUAAUGUUUGAAUUAUCACGUCACUCACUAUCUUAAUUUUUGAAAAUUAUAAUUUUAAUUAUUUAUAAAAAAUGAUCCUAGGAAUUAAUCGAAAUGUAUGGACACAACUGGGAAUGUUGGUCGUGAGAUCGAGAUUUAAUUUUGUAAAUAUAUGCAAUAAUGGAUACUCCUAGUCUCCUAUGACGAUUAGACAGGCAAUACACACAGACAACAUACUGUAUCUAUGUAAGAAGGAACGGUCAAAAUCUGAAAGCUUUGCUUUCCCGGAACUAGAAAAAAGGAUAAAGCGUGGUCCAUCUACAUAUAUUCUCGAAAUGCACAAACAUACAAUAACUAAUCAUUCCGUCACAAACUAUGAAACCUCAAUUAGUUUCAAAUCACCCACGAUUAUGAGUUGUUAAUCGAGAUUUUACUAGAGGAAGCAACGAUUUAUCCUAAAUAAAGAUGACUUUCUAUUCCACUUUUGUUUCUUUGGUGGUGCGGUGAGGUGACCUGGGGUAUCCAAUUUUGUUGAAUAAAUACUAUAUUUAACUGAUUGCAAGAAAAUAGUGAUGAUUUUAGACGCUUUACGAGAAAAUUAAGAAACAACUUUUGACCAUACACAUGAGAUAAAAUAAUGUAGCGGGAGGCUGAGAUGCGCGCCAAAAACUUUAAAUUGGGAUCCGCUCCCUUUGCUUUCUACAUGAAUUUUACAGUUGUCUAGCUCGGAUUUCCAUGCAGAUGGAAUGAACAUAAGAUCAUGGAGACGAUCCGCUCGAUUGUAUUACUCCCUUCGUCCCAAUUUAGAUGAGUCUUUUGCUCAUUUCACACAUAUUAAGGAGUAUUAAAUGAUUCAUCUUUUUUCCAUCUAUGCCCUUAGAGCAAGUCCAACGGUUGCCCUAUUUAGUGUCCUAAAUCAUAAUAUAGGGUUUUUGAUGAAAAAAUUUGAUCCAACAAUGUCCCAGUUAGGGCUGAGCAUUCGGUCGGUUCGGUUCAAAACCGAACCGAACCGAAAAAACCGAAAACCGAAUAAUGCUUUUUUUUGAAACCGAACCGAACCGAAUUAGUAUUUGAAACCGAACCGAACCAACCGAAUUAUUUCGGUUCGGUUUCGGUUCGGUUUGAAAAAAACCGAAAUUUUUCUUUUUCUUCCAUAAAAUCGAAUUCUGAAAGGAAUCCAGAUGGGCCAAGUCAUUAUUUGGGCUGGAUGCAACUGUGCGCCAUUUAGACGCAACUUGCUAACCUACGCCACUCUUCUCCACUACACUUCUUCUCAUCUCUCAUCUCGAUUUCACUACUCCCGAGACUCUUUCUCAUGGAUGGAGGUACUUUAUUUCCUAUCACUCGCUCAUUUAUCUCGUUAUUAUGAUUGAUUUUUAUGUACUACUCAAGAAUCAUCGAACGAAAUAUAAACCUGGAAUCCAAGAUGAAGACUAGAGUUGCUGGAGAUGAAGAUUAGAAGAGAUGAAGAUUAGAAGACGAUGAAGAUUAGAAGAUGAGUUUGAUUAUCGGAAAGACCAGUGAGAGCCGAGAGGACUGAGAGUGUCGAGCGGCGCUGGUUUUAAAGAAUAUUAGAUUCAGGGUUAUCUCAUAUAUGUAUAUAUGUAAUAUAUAUUUAUUUUAUAUUUAAUAAAUAUUUCGGUUAUUUCGGUUUAAACCGAAAUAUUUUAUCAAAAACCGAACCGAACCGAACUUCUUUUCGGUUCAAACCAUAAAACCGAAUUAACCGAAAUUUCCAGAAAAAUGAAACCGAACCGAACCAAAAUUAUACGGUUCGGUUCGGUUUUUCGGUUUCGGUUCGGUUUUGCUCACCCCUAGUCCUAGUGAUGCCUUAUAUCACUAGGACAACCCAUUCAAGCUCUAUUUUUGAGGCACUCCCUCUCCUUACCCUAUCCUAUAUUUUAUAAUAAAUUGUUACCAAUACUCUCUUUCUCUCUCUAUUUUAUAUUAUGUUUUAAUAAUGAAAGUGAACUUUUAAUAAUAAAAUAUUAAACAUAUAGUGAAAAUAAGGCACAUUGUUGGGGUUGAAGUUAGUAGAAUAUGUCCUAAGCUACUAGGACAUAAUUUUUUAUUUUAUAUUUAGGGCUCCAACUAGGACACUGUUGAACUUGCUCUUACUUAUUGUGUUGACUUUCUAUAAUAUUAGUAAGAUAUUACAUUGGAAAUGAUAAAUAAGAAAGGGCAAGGAUGGAAGAUUGGUGAUAAAUGCGUAUUGAAAAAAGAGAGGCUCAACUAUUUGAGAUAUAUUUUUUUCUCAAAAGUAUCAUCUAAUUUGGGAUGGAGGGAGUAAUCGUUAGGCUCCUGUCUGGAUCAUAUUUUAUGAAUAAUUAUAAAAUACUAUGAGUUUGUUGCAGAUAAAAAGUUUAAAAAAUUAUUUGUUUUUGAUUUAGAUAUGGUUUUAACAUUUUAAAAAUCAUAAAUUGAAACCGCAACCCAUUUAACUAUAAAUUUUUUACUUGACAAUAAUUUAAAAUUUUAUUGUUAUAAAUAUUAAUAAUGUAAAUAUAACUGACUUUUGAUGUAUGUAUAAUGGAUUAGGUAAAUUUUUAAAAUUAAAUCAAAAAAUUUGAUGUUUUAUACUGCAUGUGACAUCCAUGUCAACUUUGAAUUAACCAUGAUUAGGGAUUCGUUAAAAUGGGGUUCCCUCAAAUAUAUGUUAAAUUAGUUAGUUGCAUUAUCCUGCAACAAAAUUAGUUUUAUGGUUAAAAUGAAAAAAUUACAUAAGUUUAAUAGUUUUUUCGGUAAUUAAGUCUUGUUUUUUUUGAUAAUUUAGAUAAAUUGACGGAAAGGAUAAACCCACCACUUCAUCUAUCCUAUUACGCUCUUCUCCUUGCUCCAGAGCAAAAGAUGCCAACAAUUAAUAAAAGUUUGUUGUUAGUCACAACUACGUGUGUAAACAAACCAAAUUAUUCGUGAGUUACUCGAGCUCGAUAUUUGAAUUCGAUUCGGUAAUAAUCGAGCUGAGCUCGAACUCGAGCUAUUCGGAUGUAUUACCGAGCCAAGUUCGAGCUUCAAAUUACUCGGCUCGUAAGAUUCGCGAGCCUUAUCGAGCCUNNNNNNNNNNNNNNNNNNNNNNNNNNNNNNNNNNNNNNNNNNNNNNNNNNNNNNNNNNNNNNNNNNNNNNNNNNNNNNNNNNNNNNNNNNNNNNNNNNNNNNNNNNNNNNNNNNNNNNNNNNNNNNNNNNNNNNNNNNNNNNNNNNNNNNNNNNNNNNNNNNNNNNNNNNNNNNNNNNNNNNNNNNNNNNNNNNNNNNNNNNNNNNNNNNNNNNNNNNNNNNNNNNNNNNNNNNNNNNNNNNNNNNNNNNNNNNNNNNNNNNNNNNNNNNNNNNNNNNNNNNNNNNNNNNNNNNNNNNNNNNNNNNNNNNNNNNNNNNNNNNNNNNNNNNNNNNNNNNNNNNNNNNNNNNNNNNNNNNNNNNNNNNNNNNNNNNNNNNNNNNNNNNNNNNNNNNNNNNNNNNNNNNNNNNNNNNNNNNNNNNNNNNNNNNNNNNNNNNNNNNNNNNNNNNNNNNNNNNNNNNNNNNNNNNNNNNNNNNNNNNNNNNNNNNGAGCCUUAUCGAGCCUCUACUAUUUUUUUUAUUUUUUUUAUUAUAAAUAUAUUUUAAAAAAAAAAUUUAAUAUUUUAUUUAUAAUUCAUAUAUGAAAACGAAUCGAACUCUAGCCAAACGGAUCAUAUUUUGAAUUUUUGUCAAUAUUUAGUUAUUCGAUUUGAGCUUUCGAGCCGAACUCGAACCUAACGAACUGUUUACGAGCUGAACAUCGAACUUGAAAUUAAAAGCUCGGUCGAGCUCGAGGCGAGCCUGGCAGACUCGGCUCGGCUCGAUUACACCCCUAUCAUCAUAUUGGAUUGUUAUAUGAUGUUCUCCAAGAUGCUUGGGCUUUGUAGGCUGAGAUAUUUACUUAUACUGAAGCUUGCUGGCUGUUUGGGCUCCUUGUCGGACCGAUCCGUUCUGUAUAACAUAUAUUCCUUGUAUUACUGUGACACUGUCAACUAUUCUUAGUUUUUUUUUACUUUGAUUUUCAGUUGUCCCGACUUUUAAUAGUUAAUCUAAUCAUUUUUGACCAAAAAUUAAAAUAACUUUUUACUUUGUACAAAAUUAAAAAUUAUAAUUUAGAAGAUAUUGUAAAUACUUUAUAAUACCUUUUCAAUUAUAUAACUUAUAUAAAAUCCAGUUAAAAUUUGAUCGAUUUCAUGAUUAAAUGUCAAACUGUUCUAAAAUAUUACAAAUUUUAAAAAAUAAAAUUUACAAGAAUUUUUUUAUUGCCAAAUUUAUAAUAUUGACCAAAUAUAAUAUAUGGGACAUAAUUAAUUCUAGAAAUUCAAUUAUAAAUAAUUAUCUGCCCUUAAAUUACAUGCACGCAAUAGGGUUUCCUUGUCCCUCAAAAAACAUAUAUUCAAAUCAAUCAAAAAAAUAAAUAAUCAUAAGUAAUUAUCUGCCCGGCCCGCAAUACCAGAAACAAGCACAUUGCCCAGACGGAUUGCAAUAUCCACGAGCGGGGAAAUUUUUCCCAUUUCCAGAAUGACGAGAAACGCAUGCAGCAUUACAAAUUUGGUCACUACAAACUUUUCCUUUUAAAUCUAUUUGCUCUGCACAUAUUCUCGCCCCUUCGAUCUUCGUCAUCUCCGUUCCUGUAUUAUUGGACACGGAAUUUUAAUUAUAUACAAAAAUCGUAUUAGGAUUCAGGACCGAUCUAUUUUGAAAAUAUAUAGAUCUUUUGGUGUAACGUUGGGGUACGAUAUAUCAUGAACAGGGUUCUUAAUCGUCUCGAAAAAUAAUUUCAAAAGUCAAAGUCGAUAUCGAAAAAUUUUGAAAUAUACAUGAAGAAGAAAUAUACCUGUAAUUACCAAGAAGAGAAGCACUGUAAUGGCUGCAGCUGAAAGCUUCAUAUUCUUAUUUUUUUUUUAUUUGACAUAUUAUUUUGCUAUAAAUGAUUUAUAGACAAGCUGAGCUGUUGAAAAUUCUUCCAAAUUUAGGUGUCAUUUACGAUAAAAUAUUUUUUUCCUGAAUUUGUCUACAAGAGUUUUGAUAAAAGUAACUCCAAUUAGGUACAAAUAAAGAAUUUGGUGUUACAAACAGUUCAGAAUUCGAACUUUAUAAACAUGUUUCUAUAAAAAGAAUUUGUGAUAAAACAUGUUUCUAAAAUGGAAAGUGUUAGAGACCCCAAAAAAUUAUCCCAAAUGAUGUGUCGGAAUUUGAUUGGCUGCAUUCAUUUUCAUAAUAAUGAGACUCUGUUACAGAUUCGUCAAUUAUCCAAUCAUAAUUUUUCAAGUGUUUGUCAUAUCAUUUGAUAAAAAAUUUGAAUUUUUUUUUGUCACGUAUCGUUAACCUUCUACAAUCAAUCUCAUAAACUUCAUGCUUUUGAUAUUUUUAGAGAGUGAUUUUCCGUCACCAACGGUUACGUUAGAGCAAGUCCAAUGGUGAUGUUAAGAUAGAUGUAGCUAUUGUUAUAAUUUGAAACCAAAAAAUGAUUUUUGGUGCUAAAAUAAAACUUGUAAUCCAAUGGUAAAUGCAAAAUAAAACCAAACAUAUCCAAAUAAAGCUAUAUUCUAAUUACAUAAUCUUAAAGUACAUAACUAUAUUUGUCACUAUUACUUUAUUAAUGUAUUUUUUCACUUGCAUGCUUAUAUGCCAAUUAUAGCACCAUCUAUACAAGGUUCUAUAUUUAGCACCAAGUAUAGCAUUUUGCUAUUUUACAUUCAAGUUUGGCAUCUCAUUGGAGUUGAGUUUUUUGCUUGGGAAUAACACUUAUUUUAACACUACCAUUGGACUUGAUAGAGCAGGACUUUGUUGUUUUUCUUCGGUUUUUAAUUUGAGCCCAUGUACGGAUUUAUGAUCUAUAGGACUUUGUUGAUUCCUCCGUCCCACCAAUUUUUUACGGUUUCUUUUUUUGGACGUUCAACUCAUUUCUUUAUAUUAAAAGACUUUCCUAAAAUAGUUUAUGGGUCCCACUACUUUCCCACUUUUCCUUCCAUUUUAAACUACUUUUUAGAGCAUCUCCAAGAGCCUCCCUGUUGGCUCCUAAAUAUAAUAUAAAAAAUAUGGCUCUUAGAGUAUCUCCAAGAACCUCCUUGUUGGCUUCUAAAUAUAAUAUAAAAAAUAUGGCUCUUAGCAAAUUAGAACAAAGUUAAGAGCGUAAACUCCAACAAUACUCUCUAAAUCUCUUCUCUAUUUCAUAUUUUAUUCAUAUAUCGGGCUCCAUUAUAACAAAAGAGAGGGAAAGAUAGAGGUGACGCGGAGAGAAGGAUUUUUUUAUUGUGAAAAAAUAGGUUAAGAGCAAUGCGGUGGCUCUUAACUUUGAGAAGAGAGGAGAGAGAAACAAGAGGCUCUUAGUGAUUUAAAGAGCCACUAAGAGUCUCUUGGAGCAACAUUUUCCUCUCCCUCCUCAAAUCUCAAGUUAGGAGCCUAAAUGAAGAGCCUUUUGGAGAUGCUCUUAGCAAUUUAGGACAAAAUUACGAGUGCAAACUCCAACAAUACUCUCUACAUCUCUUCUCUAUUUCAUAUUUUAUUCAUACAUUGGGAUCCAAUAUAACAAAAGAGAGGGAAAGAUUGAGGUAAACUGGUGGGAAAGAUUAUUUUAUUGUGAAAAAAUAAGCUAAGAGCGAUGUGGUGGCUCUUAACUUUGAGGAGAGAGAAACAAGAGGCUCUUAGUGAUUUAAAGAGCCACUAAGAGUCUCUUGGAGCAACAUUUUUCCUCUCCCUCCUCAAACCUCAAGUUAGGAGCCUAAAUGAAGAGCCUCUUGGAGAUGCUCUUACUCUACUAUCUCUUUUUUUUAUAUUAAAAAUUAAUGGGUCCCACCACUUCACCCACUUUUUUUUCAUUUUUCCACUACUUUAUACAUAUUUCUUAACCUCCGUGGCUCCGUGCCCAAACUCAAUGUAAACAAUUGGGUGGGACGGAGGGAGUAGUAAACUUUUGAAAUUUAUCUACGUAUUUUAAAAUAUUUUAGGAUUUCUUCCAUAAUUAUAAAAUUUUCAAUGAUAAAAUAAAUUCUCAAAAAUAUCUGGACGUCUUCGAUAAAUCGUUUAUAAAACUUUAAUAAUCAUAUAAAAUAUAGUUUAUGACUUAUGUAAUUUACUUUUGAGAUUUUUCUCGUGAGAUAAAAAUUUAAUGAAGGAAAACAAAAUCUUAACAAUAUGUUACAAAAUCAUACAUUACAAGAGUAUCAAAAUACGUGUCGAGUAGUGAAAGAAUUAUAUAAAAUUAAAUAAGAUAGAAAAUAAUUAUAAUGAUAACAAACGCAUAAUAAAAAAAUUCGAUUAGUAAAAAGGUUUGUAAGAGCAAGUCCAAGAGUGUCCUAUUGAUUGCCUUAUAAAUAUUAUAAAAUACAGUGUCUUAAUAGUUUAGGACAUCACUUUUGUACAUAUACUCUAAUAAUGUGUCUUAUUUUGAUGCCCUAUUACUAAAAUAUUACUCCAUAUAUCUCCCUCUUUUCUUUACGUUACACUUUAACACGUUUAUCUACGCUCAUUUUAAGUAUAGUAUAGUUUCAUAAUAUAUAUUUUUUUAAAAUUUUUCUCAGAAAAAGUUUGAUGUUUAAAUUUUUAUUCAAGAAUUUUUUUUUAAAAAAGUUACGAAACUAUACUUCAUAGGAGUCUCAAAAUACGUACAAAACAGUAUACGUAAACUAUUCAGAGGGACGGAGGGAGUAAUAUAUUUAAAUACAAUCACGUGUAAGACAAGUGAAUAUUUUUUGAAUGAAAAUAGUUUAGGAGAAGUCUAGUAGUGCCUUAAAAUAAGACACACGUGGUGUGUCAUAGGGUUUUAAGGGCAAGCCCAACAAUGUCCUAGUUACAACCUCAAAUAUAAUAUAAAAUGUGAUAUCCUAGUGAUUUAGGACAUGCUUAUGUAUAUUCAACUCCAACAAUAUGUCUUAUUUUUAAUAUAUAUUUAAUAUUUUAUUAUUAAAGAUUAUCUUUCAUCAUUAAAACAUAUUAUAAAGUAGAGAGAGAAAGAAGGUGAGCAUAAGAUUUUAUAUUAAAAUAUAGAAUAGAACAAGAGAGGUGCCCUGUUAAUAAAGCUUGAGGAGGUUAUAUAACAUAUCAUUAGAAUACUGUUGGAUCAACAUUAUUCAUCAAACGGCUUAAAUUAUGAUUUACGACAAAUUAUAAGGUAUCUAUUGAACUUGCUCCAAGUUUCCACUAAGAUUGUGUUGAAUUACAUUUUUUAUCUCAGUGUCUUAAAUUCUCGUGUAGGCCAUCAUUUCAGGACACCGUUAUACUUGCUCUAAUGACACAAAGUAGCAAGAUAACACAGGGUCCCAUGUCUGUAAUCUUUGAUCGUGCUUACAUGACACGAACAUAUCACCUCGGAAAUCGCUACAAACAGAAUCCUACUCACCCUAAGGAUAAGAAUAGGACACCCAUCCCGUGUCAUUCACACGGUGUCCAAGUCACGUCUAAACUACACCAUGCAAUAUGCAUUACUCCACCAAUUUACACCUCAUCUAAUUUCAGUCCAACUAAAACGAAAACCUCUCAUAUUUAUUUAUUUUAUAAAUAAUUUAUAAUAAAUUUUGUAUAAAAAUAUAAUAUGAGUAAAAUGCUAGUUAAUUAUAUUUUGGACGAGAAAAAUCAACAUGUAUUUUAAUAAUUCACAAGAUAUAUUUUAUUUUAUUUUUAUAUAAAAUUUUAAUAUUUAAAUUUUAUACAUAAAUAAUUUUCUAAAAAAUAAGUCAUAAAAUGCCUAUAAAAAAUCUUAAAUACGUGUAGUAACAGAAACUAGAAAUACAUCUUAGAAAUGGUCUUAUCUAAUUACGACUCUUUAACACAAAUCAUAGGAAUUCCGCGGCACUUCAUAUUCGCAAACAAUUUCUGAGUACUGAUUCGAUUUGCUUUUUAACUACUCUUGCAUAAUAUCACUGAAAAAAGAAUCCAAUCGAUUAAAUUAAAACACAAAAAUCGCAUCCGAAUAAAUUAUAAAGUAAUAUAUUCAUUUUCAACACCAGUUAAUUUUUUAUCACACAAUACAAAAUCAAAAUAAUAAAAAAACAACUUUCCUCUUUCUUCUUUAGCCUUCCAUUUAUUCAUAGCCUGCUUCUGUUCUCACCUUCCUUUCUUAUCAUCAUCUUCUUCAAUUCAACCCCCUAUAAUCGCAAUCUAUACACACACCUAUACAUACAAAUCAUCAAAGUAAACAAAUAAAAUCAUAAAGUUUCGAUCUUUAUCAAAAUCUCCCAGGGUUUAUUCACAAUUUCAUCGAAUUAAUCAUCUUUUUACACAAUUGCAUACGUACAGAUACACGCAGAGAUCCUGAUUGCUUGUUUUGAUCUUGAAUUGAAAUUCGUGAUUUGUGAUUUUCGAUUGAUUUAAUUGAUUUUUAGGGUUUAUAGGAGGUGGAAUUGGUUAAUUUGGGGGAAAGAUGUUAGGAGCUGGGUUGAAUUUCGGCCGGAGACGAGGAGAGGAGCGAUUUUACAACCCGGCGAAGGCGCGGUCGACGCGGAGAGGGCAGCUGAAUCAGGAUCAUCUGAGGAGAGCGCUUAGUGAUGUUACGGCUAGUCAGUCGAAAGCGGCUUCGAAAGAGGUGGAGGUUGUGAAGGAGGUGGUUUUGGAGCCGGUGGUGUCUCCGUUGUCUAAUUUGGAACGGUUUCUCGAAGCAGUUAUUCCGUGUGUUCCUGCUCAGUACCCGUCCAAGGUUCGUUGCUAGUAUCGGAAUGUUUGUUGGAUUUCGGUGAUGUAAAUGUGAAAUGUAGUUUUUUAAACUAGUAUUGAUUAAUUAAGUGAAAGUGUUUUUGAUCGAAAUGUUUAUUUGGUAAUUUAAUGUUGUUUAAUAUUCAAGUGAAUAAAUUCGUAAUUGAAAUGUUUUUGUAUUGUUAGUUGGUUACUAGUAUUGAAUGUUUAAGUCAAUAAAUAUGCAAUCAAGAUUUUUGUACGUAACUAGUGAUAUUAACGCUGAAGUGGUUGAGUUUGUGAUCAUAAUAUUUGUUGUAAUAUUAUUGGUGUAAUGUUGGUGUAAUUUGUGAUUAUUGUGUUUUGAUGUAGAGAAUGUCGAAGAUACGGAGGAGUUGUGAUGGGGAGUUACAGCCGUAUUUCUUGCUUAGUGAUUUGUGGGAGUCGUUUAAGGAGUGGAGUGCUUAUGGUGCUGGUGUUCCUUUGUUACUUAAUGAUACUGAGUCUGUGGUUCAGUAUUAUGUUCCUUAUUUAUCUGGCAUGCAAUUGUAUGUUGAUCGAUCAAAGCCCUCAGCGGAAGCAAGGUACUUAUAUUGGUGAUAUAAUUAAAAUGUAUUGUCUGAUUAAUUAAAAAGUAUUGUCUGAUGGUCAAUGAAUUGUGCUCGUUGUUACUUAAUAUAUAGUUAUAUACUUAUAUAUGCUGUGACUGUGUCGUAACCAAUAUCUCUGCAAUCUACAUUAUAUGUAAAGAACGAUUGAAAAAUCUGUAUGAUUUUUGUGGCUGAAAUUUGCUACAUAUCUUACAAUAUAUUCUGCUUACUAUUGUUUAUGUGAUCAUCAUAAAAUGUCAAGAUGUCUGGACAGAUCACAUUAUGAACGUUUCAGAAUAGUUAGAGCAAAGAACUAUUUUUUAUAUUACAGAGUUAGCAAUCUAGUAAAUUAAUUAUUUGUUUGUGUUUAUCUAUGAUUAAAUUUCCUGUAUGCUGAGGUAUCAGGCAUAAUUUAUGUUGUAUUAAAAAAAAAAAAAUCUAAAAUGCAGUAUCUGAGCACAGAUGCAUGUAUAAGAUAUAAAUAUGUUAUUAUAAUAUCUGUGUUUUCUGUGCAGCAAUUUCUAGUAGUUUUACAAAUCCUAAGAUUGGCCUUUUUUAUGGUCUCCAACUACUUUGUGACUAUACAUUUAAAUGUUUUGCUUUGUUCUGUUGUAUAUGAACUCACAUAGAACUCUGAAUAAUAUACCAUGAAAGACAAUUAUAUGUUGUAGAGAGAAGGCCAACUUUUGUCGAAGGAAGUAGAUUGUUUUUUUACCAGGUGGAUGCCACCAGUAUAUCUGUAAUUUAUGUAAUCCACUCUUAGGACGAUGAUUCUUUUCAGCAACAAUAUGAAUAUAUGAUUUAUAUAGGAGAUCAAUUGUUGAUGCUUUUUUUUUUUUUUUUUUUUUUUUUUUUUUAUAUGUUAUAAAUCCCUUCAAUAUGAUGCAUCGAUAUUCGAAGGAAAUUUUCAACUAAACAAUGAAGCUUGAAAUAUGUAAUGUAAGAAUGUCAUAUAUGCUACCUUCGCGUACUCAAAAGAGAUUAUCUACUACUACGAAGACUGGUAUUAGGGUCUUCUAUUAUUUAGCUAUUCAUCAUCUAUUCAUCAGUAGUUAAAUAUGGAAGCUCCAACUACUUUCCGCGUGCUUUAUUUGGAAGUGUCGCUACUCUGCUAUUUUAUUAAAUAAUUUACAGGCUAGAAUUCGUUUACGACUGAUUCACAGACCUAUUUAGUAUUUUCAGGCUAGAUGUCGUUUAUGACUGAUUCACAGACCUAUUUAGUAUUUUAUUAAAUUUCACAGAUAUUAUCGUAUUUAAAAGUUUAUCUACUCGAUUCACAUCGAUAUUUGGAUCUACAGAACAUUGUACACUGAUUAUGGGCAUGUUUGGGUAUCCUGUUUACAAUAAAAAUUAACCUAUACAUCCAAAUCCACUUGAGCCUAUCUGUGUAUUCACAGCUAAUGACUUAUACGUAUUUUUUUGGUCAGAUGGCUUAUACAUAUUUUGUUUAUGAUAUUUUGAUAGUAUGGAAUUUGUGAAGAAUUUGAGUACGGAAUUUGUGUUUUAUUUAAGAUUUGAAAUUUGUGUUGACAAAAAGUAGCAUCAUCAUGCAAUAUGUAUAGCUCUUAUAUACCGUUUGUCAUUUGUUUUUAGUAAUAAGUUAGGCUCCAAUUAAGUAUUGUUCCAUAACUUAUUUUUGAAAUUUUCCUUUUAUGUAUAAAAAUUUAAACAUUAUAUUUUUAUUCAGAAGAAAAAAAAUUAAAAAAUUUAUAGAACUAUGCUUAAUCUUAGCCUUAAGAUGCGUGCCAAGUCCCCGUCCCCCAAUGUAAAGAACUUGGUGGGACGGAGGGAAUACAAGCUACACAUCUUUUAAUAAACUAAUAUAUCCAAACAGAUAAUAUCUUAUAACAAAAAAUUAUACUUUCAAAUUUAAUCUUUUAAAACAAAUUUAGCGAACAAGUAACUUUCAAAGGUAAAGCUAAAUGAGAUAUGUACAAUAUUGUCUUGCUUAAAUUGAUGGAUAAACUUUUGGCUUACCCUUUUUUCUUUUGAGAAGCAUGGCUAUUUGCUAAAAAAGGAAUGUUUGAACAAAUUCAGUUGGGUAUAUUUUCACAGUUUUUAAGAUGAUUUAGUAUUUGAAGUUUUGGCCUCUCCCUGUGUGAUCUUUUGUGUUUGUCUCUUCUCGGGUUUCAAGGUAAUGCAUGCUUUUUGAUAAAAUCUGUUGAUCAAGAAACUGAUUAGGCAAGCUUCUCAGUUAUAUGCUCCUUGAUCUCGGUAAAAACUUCUUUUAAGAUCUGGUUUCUUUCAAUUGAAACAGGCGGCCAGGUGAGGAUAGUGAUGUAGAAUUUAGUAAUUUUAGUAGUGAUGGAAGCAGUGAUUAUGAGCAUGAUAGAAGUUGCAUAAGUUAUUUGAGGGAACAGCGGAGUUACAACAAUUCAACAGGCGAGUUAGUUCAGAGAGUUGAGGGUUUGUCAUUGCCUGAUCAAAAUAUUGCACUCCAAGAAGGAUUUUCAAGUGAUGAGGGUGAACCUAGGAAACCUCAAGAUUUCUUGUUGUUUGAGUAUCUUGAGCGUGAUCCACCCUUUGGCAGGGGACCUUUAGCGGACAAGGUUAGCAACUGCUUACCCUGGGGAUCACCAGGUUUUUUUAAUAAUAAAUUUUUUUAUUUGUCUUUUUCUGCAUUAAUGGGUUCUGUUUGUCAGUAUGUUGAAAGGGCUUAAAGCCAUUUUAUUUACUUAUGUAUUUUUAUUGGGUUUUAUAUUAUUAGAUAUCUAAUCUUGCUCUUCGGUUCCCUGAACUGAAAUCACUGAGGAGCUGCGAUUUGCAACCUUCCAGUUGGAUAUCUGUGGCCUGGUAAAGACUGUUGUGAUCUGCAUUAAGACUGCAUCUGUUGAAAGUAAACAUGCUUAUACACACAACAUAAUAGUGACAAAACAUUACAGGUAUCCAAUAUAUAGGAUUCCAAUGGGACCAACACUAAAGGAUCUGGAUGCUUGCUUCUUGACAUUCCAUCAUCUUUCUACACCCAUGACAGGUAAAUGGAUGCUUUAUGUCAUCUUUCAUAUAGAUGCGUGCCAGACUGCCAGCUAUUUAUGUCAAUGCUUCUUUGCCAGUAUAUGUUGUUUGAACUUGAAUAUAUGGUGUUCUACUUAUCAGCUUACUUAGACAGUACAUCUGUCUUAGUAGUUGCAUCCUUUUGGGGAUUUUGUCUAGUUUUUCUUGGCAGUCUACCUUUAUAUCCUCUCUCUAACAAGAGGCAUUAUGCACUAGUUCUAGUAGUUGCUUAUAAUUAUAAUAGUGUAUUUUAGUUUCUUUCUUUCUUGCAUUUCUCUCAAUUAUAAUAAGCUGUUUUUUUUUUUUAGUUUGUGUGUGGAUACAAAGUGCAUAUUGUGAGCCUUGUGAAUCAGAGAUGUUUCACUUGCAUUAUUUUUAUUUUUUUUUGACAUGUAUCCCCAAAUCUUGCAGAUAAUUCAAGUACGGUUCCUGCUCCUGCUCCAGUGGUGACAUGUCCUAGUGAGAUUGAUGGUAUUCCGAGGAUUUCAUUGCCUAUUUUUGGUUUCGCCUCUUACAAGUUUAAAUCAUCGCUAUGGACAGAUAAUGGCCAAUUAGUGAGUUUGCUCUUGCAGGCUGCUGAUAAUUGGUUGACUUUGCGCCAGGUCAAUCACCCAGAUUUUAGUUUCUUCUGCCGUAGAUGAUAACUGGAGAUGAGUUUUGCGCUCUGCGCAUCCUGUCAUUCAGCGAAUGAUUCUAGUGGUUUGUUGAAGUGAAAAUUAAGAAAAGAAGCCUGAAAAAACAAAAAAAAAGUUAUUAGAUCGAAAGAAAGAUGAUCAAGGCACUGCUAUGAUGUAAGAAGGUCAAUGACUGUAUACAAAUGGUUAGACAUAAUAUAGUGUUAGAGUAGGCACAUAAGGGCUGAAGCAAAUCCCCUAGAAGACCACCUCUGCAUGCAAUGGGUAGAUCUGUGUAAUCUAGUUUAUGUGUGUUAGAACAGGCUUAUUUUUUCUGUCCUGAAUUAUAAUGUUUUUCCUAACUUGCAAGGGGAUUGUGAUAGGUAUAUAAUUAAUAGAUGUAGCUCCCUGUGUAAUGUUUACUUGAAUUAUUCACAUAAUUAAAAAAAGAAGACAAAUUUAGGUAUCAUGUGAUUUACUUCUUGUUUGAUUAGCAGCAUGCUUAUGAAUUAUGUGCAAAAUGAUUUGUUUAGUGAUAGUUUAGAGUUUAGAGCAAUUGAUUAGCCCCAUGAUAGUAUUUUUAGUUCGAAACAACCAUCUUGUUAAUAUUGUUUUCUUUUGGGAACCAAUUUUUCUGCCGUAGUAGGUAAACAGUUGCAGUACAAGUCUUCAACUUUAGUGCACAAAGUGGGUAACGAUAGCUAUGCGAUGAUGUGUUUAGUAUAUUUUUAAAAAUAAGUCACGUAUUUAUCAAAAAGAUAUGUAGAUGUAUAUUUUUUUAUAAAAUGUUUUUUUUCCUUUAUUAGAUAAAACUAGCACUGUAGCCCGUGCGAGGCACGGGCAUGUUCUCAUAUGCGUGAUGAACAUUGUUAUUCUUGUUAUUGUUCGACAGUGUCAAAAAUAAAGAGUUUAAAUUUUAGAUCCUUAUUAUUGCAGUGCAGUUUAAACAUAUCUUUUAUUAUUUAAUGUGCAAUAACCGUUAAUGUGAGUUAGAUAUAGUUGUCCUUAAAACAAUGUAAACAAAAUGUCACAAUGAUAUUUGUGUACCAGUGAUCCUUAUUAUUGCAGUGCAGUUUAAACAUAUCUUUUAUUAUUUAAUGUGCAAUAACCGUUAAUGUGAGUUAGAUAUAGUUGUCCUUAAAACAAUGUAAACAAAAUGUCACAAUGAUAUUUGUGUACCAGUGAUCCUUAUUAUUGCAGUGCAGUUUAAACAUAUCUUUUAUUAUUUAAUGUGCAAUAACCGUUAAUGUGAGUUAGAUAUAGUUGUCCUUAAAACAAUGUAAACAAAAUGUCACAAUGAUAUUUGUGUACCAGUGAAGUAUAACCUUGAUAUUCAACUGGUUGUAGUAUAUCUUCCUCAUUCACCAUCGAUAGUAGAGCAUCUUGUGGGUAGUUAAGGUCCAUUCUUACUUAAUAUUCAUAUUUUGAUUAAUUAUUUUUAAUUUUUAAUUUUUACUAUUUCGACCAAUAAUUCGCCCAAGAAUUUAAUUAAACUUAUAAUAUAUUGUUCCACUGCCAGUGGAAUAUCACACUAAUUAGAGUAUCACGUUGAUAGGUAACUGGUUAUGACGUAUCAUCAUAAUAAUUUUCUUAUAGUAAAAAUUUUGUAGAUAUUUAGGGUCCUCCGUAGCAAAGUAUCACCUUUAUAUUCAACUGGUUGUGGCGUAUCAUCGCGAUACUUCUCCGAUAGUAGAGUAUCUUGCGGGUAGUUAAGUCCCUUUCUAAUUGAAUAUAUAUAUUUUGAUUAAAUAUUGUUGAAAAUUGAUGAUUUCGGUCGGAAAUUUGCCUAAAAAUUUAAUUAAUUUUAUAAAUAUGUUGCUCCACUCAUGAUGGGAAUCGAGAGAUACACUGAUACUUCUCUACUUGUGGAGUAUCACCCUAAUACUCAACUGGUUAUGAUAUAUCAUCAUGUUAAUCCUUUUACAGUCAAAACUUUUGUCCGUAUGUAAAGCCCUCCUUACUGAAUAAACUGAAUUUUGUUAAAUAUUGUUGAGGCACAGGCAUGCUGGGUAUUUAGGACCCUAUCUCACUGAAUAUUCAUAAUUUUAGUCAAAUAUUGUUAAAUAUUGGGUAUUUUGGCUGAGUAUUCACCCAAGAAUUUAAUUAAGUUCUUAUAAAUAUAUAAGUUGCUUCACUCCGAGUGGAAUAUCACACUGAUACUCCUCUACCAUUGGAGUUUCACCCUGAUAUUUAAUCAAUUGGAUGUAUCAUCAUGAUAAUACUCUUAUAGUCAAAUAUUUUGCGAAUAUUUAGGACUCUCCUUACUAAAUAUUCAUAUUCUGGUUAAAUGUUAUUGAGACACGGUCACGCGGGAAUGUUCUCAUACACGCAGAUGGAUGUUGUUAUUCUUGUCGUUGCCUGAGUGUUAGGUUUGGGUUCUUGUUAUCUUAGGGUGGUGCCCUAACCAUUAAUAUGCAUUGAAAAUAGUUGUCCUUAUAAUAAUGCGAGCAAAGUAUCACUCUGAUAUUCUUUUGCAAGUGGAAUAUCAUAUUGAUAUUUAACUCGCUGUCGUGUAUUGUCAUGACAAUAUACCGACAAUGAAAUAUCUUAGGUAAAUGAGAGACGUAUAUUUUUUUAAAAUUAUGCAAAAUUAGAUUAUUAUUUUUUACUACAAGUUAGUUGGUGUUAUACAUGCUUUGACGAUGUAAUUAAUUACCUACCCAUUAAUAAUUAACAUAUUAUUUACAAAUUUAAUUAUGAAUAAAUUAAUAUGUUAGAUAUAAUUACACAUAUUAAUUACAAGUAUUAAUUUUAUGUAUCAAUAAAGCAUGUAAAAACAUUAAUCACAAGUCUAACUAUGAACUCACUAAGGUUUUAGAUAUAAUUAUGCGUAUUAAUUGCAAGUUAUUAAUCAUACGUAUUAAUGAAGAAGUAUUAAGUGCAAGUUAUUAAUCAUGCGCAUUAAUGAAAAUGAGGGUUAAAAGAGUAAUUUACAUGGCGAAUAAAAUGUGGCACGUUGGCCUAUUAUAUAUAUAAUAGAUAGAUAGAUGUAGGUGUGUACUUUUUUGGAAAUAAAAAUUGUUAAACACGUAUUAAAUAUAUCAUAUCAAAAAUUAUUUGUAAAACAAUAAUUUUUUUCUUCUUAUUUUUGAGAAAAAUGUACACCCAAAUUACAAUCAUAUAUUACUUCAACACAUAAUCAUAAACAAAUAAUAAAUUGUAUUUACUUUUGGAUAGAACGUAACUAGGACAACAAUGCAAAGAAAUUCUAAAAAAAAGAAGAAAAUAUGAAAAUUUAAUGACCAAAUAUAAAUGAGUCUGAAUUUUCUAUUAUAGAGAUCGCACAUACUUACACUCGUAUAGUAGCAUAGCUGAACUCCACUGUCAUAUACAAAGAUCCAGUUUUGUUCAUGUGGAUGGAAUGAAAUGAGAAGAUAAUUAAAUAAAAUAUUAUUAAAAAAAUUAUGAGAAAAAAGUACUAUAAAAUAGUGAAUAAAUAUGAAUGAGUUUAAAUUUCUAUAUAUUAUGAUGAUUACACCAAAACAUGACGAAAAAAUUGAACGGACCUUUCUUCUAAAAUAUAUGAGUUAUUAAGUGAGGAAGAUUGUGAUAGUGAGUGCUACUGUUAUGAUAUAAUUGUGGUGACAGAGGUGAGGGAUCAAGUAAUAUGAUGAUAAUAAUUCAUAAAAUUAUAUAUUGAUACUCCCUCCGUCCCAUUUUAUGUGACUUCAUUUUUUUUUGGACGUCCCAAAAAGAAUGAAACUAUAAUACUUACUAUUUUUGAACAUUAUUUUUCACUAUUACACCCACUAUCAUUAUAUUUUAUACUCUCUUUUUAUUAAAUAAACACUAUUACACCUACUAUUUUCCUCCACUAUCUCAAAUACUCCCUCCGUUUCAAAUUAGAUGUCCACUUUCAAAAAAUCACAUAGUUUAAGAAAAGUGGUUGUUCACAAAUUAAUUGCAUUAAAGAACCAUAAAAUCUGGUGUGAGAUUGAUCUAAGAAAUAUAAAUAAGAGAUUUGUGGAGGAGAAUUGACUUAGGAAAUAUGAUUUUGCAUUGAAAGUUGAGGUGUACAAAUAAUUUGAAACAAAAAAUUUUCUUGAAAGUGGACAUGUAAAUUGAAACGGAGGGAGUAUAUUAUUAAAUAUUGAUAGGUCAUACCACUUUACCCACUUUUCAACUACAUUUACUAUCUUUUUAUUAAUCUCCGUGAAAGUCAAACCAGCUGACUUAAAAUGGGACGGAGGGAGUAAUUCUUAACAGUUUUUACGAUAUAAUAAUUACCAAAAUGCCCUCCCAUCCCAUAUAUACAGAGAUUGCAUGGCUUGACAUUUCCCACACGCCAUUCAAAACAAAUCCUCAAACACAAGGAUCACAUUGGGAGCCACGGCCAUGGCUCCCAACACCAAUGCAAACACAAAACACCCCUUUCUCGUCACCGCCCUGAUCCUCCUAAUGCUCACCCCAUCGCAUGCAGCGACUCUAUCCUUGUGGAACAGGUGGAAAGCCCGCGUCGCUGGAAACUUGUUCCCCAAGGUAGAGGUCACCCUGUACAACGAAUCGGACGACAAGGUCCUCUACAUGUGCAGCUUCGAUGAGAACCAGAGAUCAUUGCAGGUACUGGGGGCGGGGCAGCAAAAUAGCUGGAAUUUCACGCAGUUUGCGUUUCCUUUGCAUUGGUGUUAUCUUUAUGUGAAUGAGGAGAGGCAUGGCUUCUUUUGGGCGUAUGGUGUGAGGUCGAGGUGUAUCAAGUGCUUUUGGAAAGUCGGGAAGUUUCCGUUUCUGUAUCGGAGUGAUCGGAAUCGAUGGGAGCGGCAGCAGUUGUUUCCUCCGCAGAAUCUGAAAUUUAACCUCACUUGGCCACGAGAUAAUUGAUCAGAUGGAUGGUCUUGUCAUUGGAGGAAAUAAAUGUGUUGCAGAGGGUGCUGGUGGAAAUUGUUGUUGUUCGUUUCGGAGUAGUCCGAUUUGUUAUGAUGCAUCUUGUACUAAUUAACCUGUAAUGCAGGCAAUUUUUUGGGUGAUUUUGGCGAAAUAAAUAUGUUCUUCCAAUUCCUUUUUGAUUUCUGCAGAGGGCAGUGAAUCUCUGCAAUCUCUGCAGUGAUGCAUGCGCACACACGUGUACUUAUUUCUUUGAAUCUGUUUCAAGAUUUCCAGAAGCUUGAAAAAAAAGACUCUAUAUGCUACGAUCUUCAAAAGUAAUGUCCAAAAUAACAGAGUCGAGAGAAAUGACCCAAAAUACCAUUUAUUAAUGUCAUCUACUGUUUUGAUUUUUUUGAAGAAAACACUAUACCGUAUUGCAUGCGUUUAGGUAUGAAAAUUAUUAUAAAAUAUAACACGAUCGGUCAUUUAUGAGUAAGCUGCCAUCUGGAAUAGUGGAAUAGCGUUUUGAUCUCAAAAUCUAGAUUGUGUAGGGUGAGAAGGGAAAUAGUAUAAACGACGCAUGAUAUAGAGUUUUGGAUCGUAAAGUGAUAGGUGAAUUAAAGAUUAUUUUUUCCGGCACCAGCAUUUGAGACUUUUUUCUUGAAAAUAAUAUUAGGGAGGGCCUGGUGAGAAAAAAAGAGAUGAAGAUCACAUCCCUAAUUCUGAGUAUGAGCAAGUUGGAUAUUAAUAAAUAUUUGUCAGAAUUGAAAUCAAGUAUAUAAUUCUCUCAAUUUUGUUUAAAAUUAUUAUUUUAGACUGCGGUUAGAGCCCAACUUGCACCACUAAAAAGAAAUAGGAGAUGAAAAAAAUAAAAAAUAUUAUCUAUCACCCGGAUUCGACUCGAAUUUGAUAUUGAUUCAAUUUGGUUGUUGACGAAUUGGCGUUCGAACAUGAAAAAUUGAUCAAAUCAAGUUUGGCUUGACCGGGUAAGAAAAAACUUAAAAAUUGACUUGAUUUGGUUCAUUUACGGCUCCCGAUAUUAAUGUGUUUAAUUGUGACUGGUACUUCUAGUUCCGGGUCAAUUACCUUCUUGUUGAUGCAUGCAUAUUUAUCGUUUGUUUUGUUAAAUCUUUCCGACCAGACUAGUUAAAAGUUUCGAAGGAAGAUAGUAAUUUGUUUCUGAACAUUUACUUCAAUAUAUAUCAUAGGAGAUCUACAUAAAGAGAGUACAGGAAACAGAACAUUUCGAAACAGCACACAUAUCUAGACUCCGCAUAAAAUAAAAACAAGCCAUCUAGAUAGCUCGCGUACAUUGUACUUAGGAUAUAAUGCAAUAAACCGCAGACGAAUGCAGUCGACGAUUACUAGGUGCACGUGGUAGGAAAAGGAGUGCCGCAAGUGUCAGCAACCUUCCGAGCAUUGGGAGAGUUGAUAAAUUUCUGAAGAAAAGGGUUCUUCAUGUAGUUGCAGAGGCAGGGCGUCUGCUCCUUUAACUUACUGCAGCACAUCGGAGUCGGUGUAGUGGUUGCAGAUGUGAUGGCAUUGGCGCAAGGACUUAGCUCCACCGCGUUACAUGUCACUGCAGCUGCUGCACAACGCGAUGGACUAAUAACCAGCGUCGUGAUUACAAACAUUAUUAGUACUGCUGCGCCUGAUUUUCCCAUUUGCAGCGUCUUCUGAAUUAAGAGAAGGUGAGAUUAGAUUAGGCUAGUUAAGAGAGUGUGAUGUUUCGGAUGAAUGUGGUUUGUAUCAGUUAUGGAUCUAAUUUAUAAGCACCAUGGAGGGACCAUUAAUUUAUUAAGUAAGUGUAGAUUACUACAAAGAAUAACUAGUUAUACGUUGUAGUAAUCACUACAUAUCACGAAAAG